UUAUCAUAAUAUGCACACGUAUUCUACCUUAUUUUCCUUUUGAAAGUUUGAAUUUGGUGGUUAUUCACUAUGCCAAACACGACAUCUACUUCAUCAUCAACCCAGGGUUAUCAGCCUACACCCUCCUAUGGAAUCACUUGACAAGCUUACUGAAGUCAUGCACCAUUUCUUUUGUGGAUUCGGAUGAGAAAAAGGAGGAAAAAGAAAAGCUUUAUAUUUUGAUCGACCCAUGCCACAUGGAGUUAUUUUCCUUUUGCAAAUUUCUGUCAGCAUGAACCUGUUAAUUUGACUUUUCAUCCUCCAAUGUAAAUACUUAACUCCUUUUAGAUGUGUAUAUAAUGGAGCUCUAUGUAUUUUUAUAACUGUGCUGUUUUAGUUAAAACAUUAUAUUCAUUUAUGCAUGGGAGGCGCUCCGCAGGAAUUAACUCCAACCAAUGUAGAUCAGAUUCUCUGCAUUUUUGGAGAGCUUAUGUUGUGUUCAGAUCUCUAUUUAGCUGGAUGUUGGCAGCCACUGACUCUAUGAAUAGCAAUAGCAGAGAACAUUGAGAAAUUUUAUUGGUCUGUUGGUAGAUAAAGCAAAAAGCAAAGGGAUAGAGACAUCAUCAUCUGGGUGGAUGUUGUUAUGCUGCAUGCAAGAAUCUCUAUGAUUAUCACAUAUAAAGGAAACACUCGAUGGAUGUCUAAUCGACCAAUGGGACAUUCAACUAUUUUCCAGGGCUUAGUUUGUGACAUGCAUCUCUACCAAGUCACCUAUUGGCUUAACUCCUUUUUUCCCUCUUUGUUCAGAUGAAAGAAGUGGAGCAAUCAAAAGUGAGAGUGCAGUCAUCCUCUAAUAUAUAUAUAUAUAUAUAUAUAUAUAUAUAUAUAUAUANNNNNNNNNNNNNNNNNNNNUAUAUAUAUAUAUAUAUAUAUAUAUAUAUAUAUAUUGAAACAUAUAAUUUUUUGUAUCAUAGCCAUCUGUGCAUUGUUAUUCUCUGCCCUAGGCAAAUCAAAAGGCUUUUGGGCUAUAUUGUUUUCUCAGCCUCUCUUCAUAUUUUUAAUACAAAAAAAACGUCAGUUGGUACCAUGUAACAUUUUCUGUGAGUUUUUUUAAUAUAUGAUCCUUGUCAUUUGUUUGUCAUAUGAUCUUCCAAAGAUCUAUGUGGAUUUUAAAUUCCAUCAAAAUCACCUUGUUCCCAAGUGGUUGAUAACAACUCUUUAAAGGAUCUGCUUAAUAUCUAGGUUUAAACUGACUGUUUCAUAUGCCUUGGCUCCCUUGAGUCUAUCAAACAUUCAAACCAAAGUUUCACCAUCCACUUUCAGGUCAGAAAGCAUCUGUCAUUUGUGGCUAUCAGAUGCAUUGCUGCAGCUUCCGGAACAGAUGGAACCAACAAGAACUCAGGUUAAAGAAUAUUUUCCUUAUUUCUACUACACCAUAUCUUUGAGCACUUAUCAUCUCUUAAUGGCUUGGUAUCUGCAUUCGCGAACAAUCUGGCAUUUGUGAACAUGUUUGUGAUCCAUAUCCAUGCUGUCAUCUGAAUGAACAAAUGCCAGUGAUGAACACAAUUUUUUUUAUUGUACUCUUGGUUCUCUCCAUUGAUGGUCGUGGACACGAGUGCAACCAAGCCGAGUUUGAUCAAGCUUGUGUCUAAGCUUGGUUUGAAAUUGAUUUCGAGUUCAAGCUUGACCUAUUUAAUGUUAUUUCAAGCUCAAUUUGAGCUUAAGUUCAAAUGGAGCUGAACACAAGUUUACAUGAUCAGCUUGAUGAUUCUAAAUAAACUUGAACUCAUCUUGAGAUUAAAUCAAGCUUGGCUCACGCUUCAAUAAAAUCUUGAUUAAUGGUUUCAAGCUUGCUUCAAAAACGUUUGAUUCUAGUCUAAGUUAAUAGUUAAUUAAUCCAAAGAAGAAAAAUCUAUAGCAACUAAAAUUUUAUUCCAAUGAUCUAUUUAUAUAUAAAACCCAUAUUGUAUAAUUUCGAUAAGUCUGGGUGUUAUUAAGCGGAACUUGAUUGAGCUGAGACAAUUAUAGACCUAGCUUGAAAUUAACUUCGAGCCUAUUUUGCUUGUUCUAGCUUGGUUUGUUUAGCUUCAAACCAAGCUUGAUUCAAACUUUUCUUGGGCGAUCCAUUUGCUUGACAACCCUAUCUGGAUAGCCAUAAAGGUUCUCCUUGGAUCAUUGAAUAGACUCUUCAGUUGUCAAAUAUCAACUUGAUAAAAUAUCCUGGAUCAUUAAAUUUUCAGUAGCUCAAAUCUACUUUCUUCAGGUGCCUUUGGUAUUUUGCCUCCAAUAUUCUAAUAAUGGUAUUUUGCCUUGAAUGUUCUAAUAACCCUGUGGAGAUGCAACAGGAUAAGUAUCACAGUUCUUAUCUUUUUCCAAAAAGUGAGAUCAGUAGGUGCGCUCUUCUCUAAUAAGUGAACUACUUCUCUGAAUUUGUGCAUAGCCAUUUUGUUCACAUCCAGCUCCUGGCUGGUUGCAUGUCAAGAUAUUUGUACAUCAGAUGUCAACAUUUCAAUUCCUUGUUUGCUUUCAUUUCAAUUCCUUCUAAUAAUUGUUUUGUAUCAAUUUUGGAGUAACAGUAGAGCACGUAAAAGUUCCUUGAAAUCAUAGAAUUGAAAAUUCAAUCUUUGAGUCUGAUUUUUUUUGUUUCUUUCUCUUUCUUAGGCUAUUACAUAUCCCGGCUCAAUGCUUAUUUCAAUAAGUAAUCGAGUGAAUAAGCUUUUACAAAUUCUGCAGAAACUUUUUUUUAAAAUAUCAACUUCACGAGAAAAGAUCAGAUUUUUUUUUUUAAGAAUACAUGUUUAAAGGUUCUGGGAUGAUUUUCGCCCUAGGUAUAAGUACAAGAUGGGCAAUAUAUAAAUUUAAAAUAAUUGACAUAUAUUUAUUGAACUGUAGAUACACAUACUUUUAAUAUUUGAUACUGCACCUCUCAUAUUUAGACACAGGACUAAAAUCAUUGCACAACACCUAAAUAUGAAUUCUUCCUAAAAAUAAAAAUAAAAAUAUGAUAUAUUCUUAUAAAAUCAUAAUUAAGUAAAAUUUUCAUGCAUCUAAAAGUUUUAUCCUUUAAAUUUAUAUUUUUAAAUUUUAUAAAUACAAAAAAUUGAUUUUUGGAAAUCAAGUAAUCCAAACUUUAGGUCGAAUAUGAUCGCAGGCAUGAAAUGGGCUGCCUCCUUUCUUUGUUGAAGUCUAAAGGCAAAGAAGUUUCUUGCUGUGUUUCUUUCUUUUUCCUCAACAUUAGUCUUGGACAUACACAUCUGCAAUACAUAUCUUGCAAUGAAUGGCCACAAGUUCUUAAGGAUGCUUGGUCCAAUAUCUAUGUUUAAGAAUGUGUUCAUCCUCAAUGUACAGUAGCUACUCACUAUGUCACCUGUAUUGGAUUUAUACGAUUCGAAAAAGGAGCUAGAGUCUAGAUAGCAAGAUACAUCUUGGCCUUAAAUUCCUUCUACCAUAACAAAGGCCUAUAUUGCAUUUGCUUCUACAUGCCACACUUGGUUUGCUUCUAUUCUUUCCUCAUGUGCUCUUUUGGCCCUCUUAGCAGUUGACUACUAAUUUGACAAGAGAUAAAUUUGUUUGAUUGAUUAUGAUACAAAUUAGUUACAAUAUUUUGCACAAUUUUUUCUCUUCUACCGAUUGGGACUUUGCCUAAUAUCUUGUGUCAUCUCCUCUUCAUUGGAGGUUAGUGGCCAAAAUUUAAGAGGUCUAAAACGUGUGAAUGUGACAUGGACAAAUUGAAAAGGUGCCUGGGAGACACUUCGCCCUGAUGAUUGAGAACUAUUGCAAUUUUGUAGUGCCAUGCCUAAUCUGAUGCAUGCUUUUGGUGCUUGCUCUAGUGCUUUUUAGCUUCGUAUUCGGAUCUGAAUCACGAUCUUGGUAUGGAAGGUUUGCUUCUAGUGGUGCCUCUGCCUUUGCUUUAGAGUGAAGUCAUUGAUAGGGUACUCCAGUAGUUCGAUCUGUAAGUAUGGUUUUAACAAGCUUGAUUCUUCAUCCAAGAAGAGGUCUCAAUAGAAGUCAAUUUACUAUUUUUCUUUUUGAAUAAACCAAUCGUCUAGUCAAUGGAUGACCUCCUACCUCCUACCCUGGCAUCUUUUNNNNNNNNNNNNNNNNNNNNUUUUAAGCCCGUGCAUGGGAGACACUUCACCAUGAUGAUUGAGAACUGUUGCAAUCUCGUAGUGCCAUGCCUAAUCUGAUGCAUGUUUUUGGUGCUUGCUCUAGUGUUUUUUAGCUUCGUAUUUGGAUCUGAAUCACGAUCUUGAUAUGGAAGAUAUACUUCUAGUAGUGCCCCUGUUUUUGCUUCAGAGUGAAGCCGUUGAUAGGGUACUCCAGUAGUUCGAUCUAUAAGUAUGGUUUUAACAAGCUUGAUUCCUCAUCCAAGAAGAGGUCUUAAUAGAAGUCAAUUUACUCUUUCUCCUUUUGAACGAACCAAUUGUUUAGUCAAUGGAUAACCUCCUGCCUCCUGGCCUUAUAUCUUUUUAAGCCCAUUAAGCUGAAACAAAAUCAACCAAAAUCUGAUUUAUUCAUAUGUUUAUUUGUUCUACUCCCGUUCUAAUUAACAACAAAUUUUAAAGUGGCCCAGAAGAGACAUGCUUCUUUACUAUUAUGAAUCAAAUUAGGUAAAUGCCCUUAUCCGAGCUGCUACAUAUUUUGUUAAUUUUCCAAGAAUUGAUCCAAAUUGGAGAGAUUUUGUCCCAAAAAUCUUCAUGCAUCACCUUGGGUAUGUAGAGCCUUAAUCUCACGUAUGUUAAUAAGUAUACACGGUUACAUCCUUGGGCAUGUGUGCUCUCAUUUUCUUCAUCAAGCCCCGUUCUUGACCCGUUCAUCCCAUACAAAUCAACCACGAGAAGAGAUGUGGAGUCCUCCAGCGGAAAAAUUAAGCUGGACACGGUCCAUGGACGAUGUUACUAUGUUGGAGCAUGAAACAUUAAGAAAGCAAAUGGGCCACUACCUUGGCCUGGAUUUGAAACUUUUUGGGCCCGACCUCGCCUUUGCUCUGCUGCAAAUUUUGGAUUUAAGAUUGAUAUGCGCAUCCAUAACACUUCAAGGGACAGCACUUUGUGUUCAGAAGCGUCACAUGGAAUGAUCGUUGAGUAGAGGAAUACAUGAACUCGGACUGGACCUGUCCAAGGCCUGGUAAGAACUGCACCCUGCCCCUAUAUCAUUUUAUUGUUAUUAUUUCCAUGAUAUGUAAUUUGUAUUUAUUCUAUAUUGACUUUGGAGGAUUAUCGGAUCCACCACGGAUUGAUUUGGUCAUCUUGGACAGGUCUGGAUGAGGUUCGGAAGCAAGAGCCACGGCUUGAUAGUGAUGCCCAACUUUCAAAAAUCAUAACUUUUCCACAUGAUGCCACAUCCUAGGAUUUCACUCCAAAAAGGCUAGCCAGAAGAUAUUAUUUGGAUUUCUUGGCCCUGUAUAAGUAUCCAAGAUUUACCUAGCACAUACAUCUUCACAUACUCCGCGCAUUUUAGUUUCAGCAUCUCCACUAGGCUAAAUGUCCAAAUCUAUUUAAAUCUAAUCACAAGCACCACAAUCAGCUUAUGGUCAGCCCUUGUAAACUCGUUUUGCAGUGACCGCUAGUCCACAUAGGUUAUGGAUCGGAUCCACUCUGAUAGCAGUUUGUAACAUCUCAGGACCUCCCUCCAAAAAUGCUAGUCGGCAGAUAUUAUUUGGAUUGCUUGGCCCCAUAUAAGUACUCAAGAUCUACCCAAUGCAUAGCCGAUAUAAAACCAAACAUAUUCCGGCACAAAUCCUCACACAUAGCAUCUGAUUUCAGUGGUUUUUUUCUUUUGAAGUUGGAUAAUAUUUAGAUUUUUGGGACAAAAUCUCUUCAAUUUGGAUCAAUUCUUGGAAAUUAGCAAAACUUAUAGCAGCUCGGAUAUGGGCAUUUUAUCUUUUACCCAAUUUGAUUCAUAAUAGUAAAGAAACAUGUCUCUUCUGCGACACUUUAAAGUUUGUUGCUAAUUUGAUGAGAGUAGAACAAGUAAAAGGACAAAUAAAUCAGAUCUUGUUUCAGCUUCAUGGACUUAAAUAUUAACAAAAAUUCACAGGAUCUGAAUAAUCAUAAUUGUCUAAAUUUGUUUCUCCCUCUUGACUCUGUUUUAACAUCUCUGAUGGAGACUAUUUUUGUGUUUCUUAAAUAUGCAGAGAGAGACCAUUUUGUUUUUCAUUAUUUAUCUUUCCAUCAGAGAUAAGGGAGUUACAGCAACUUCUCUAGGAGUCAAUUACUGUAACCAUCCAGUAAUCAACCACGACUGGUCAUGUGGGUCAAAAAAUCUAACAUUCUCCUACUUGGCCUAUAUGAUCAUAAUAUUUAUUUGAACAGAAUGAGAUAACAUUAGGCGCACAACAUUCCAAUCCACAAUUAGUUUGAUCAUGAUAAUACCAUAAUUAAACAACUUACUAGUGCGAGUCAUGGCGGUUCCAUAUCUCCAAAGUGACAAAGUUCCUUCCAAGUACCACAACAUCAGCAAAUUAUUUAACCACAGUCCAUAAAUGAGAAGUAUCCAUAAUGGUCAAACAUUAUGUCUUUGUUAGAGACAAUUCUUGUGGUCAUACAUUCAAACUCAUGCAUGUACAACAUUUGAAGAAUAGAAAAAUCAGAAACAUAAUUAAUUAGCUUCAAGUGUCAAAGAAAUAAACAUAAUACGAUCCUCAAUUAACAUUAUGGCAACAAAGACCCAUUCUUUCAACAUGCUCUUUAAUUGUCUUUGGUUGUAAACCUUUUAUCAAAGAAUUUGUAAUGAUGAGCUCUGUCCUUUUAUUUUCUAUAGACACAUAUUGUUUCUAAACUUCCUCCUUGACAAAAUAUUUAAGCUCAAUGUGCUUAGAACCAUUAGAAUAUUUGUCGUUUUUGGAGAAAUGAACAGCUGCAGUAUUAUUACAAAAAAUUUUCAGCGGCCUGGCAAUAGAAUUGACAAUCUCAAGUCCCAAGAUAAAGUUACGCAGCCACAAACCAUGAACCGUGGCCACAUAGCAUGCCACAAAUUCUGCUUUCAUGGUGGAUGAAGCAGUGCUAGUCUGUUUGGCACUUUGCCAUGAGAUUGCUCUUUCAGCUAAUAGGAACAAAUAGCCAAAUGUUAAUUUUUUACUAUUUACACAUCCAGCAAAGUCUGAAUCUGAAUAGGUAAUCAUCUCAAGACUAUCAUACCUUCGAUAUAUAAGCAUGUAAUUCUUGUUCCUUGCAAGUAUCUCAUCACCUCCUUUGCAGCUUUCUAGUAAUCCAUGCCUGGAUUAGUUUGGUAUCUGCCUAGCAUUCCAACUGCAAAACUGAUGUCCGAUCUAGUGCAGGUCUGAGCAUACAUCAAACUUUGAACUGCUAAAGCAUAAGAAAUCUUUUCCAUCUGCUUACGUUUUCAUUCAUUCCGUGGGCAUUGCAUGAGACUAAAUUUAUCCCCUGCUGAAUUGGAGCAACAUUAGCUGAACAGUUCUCCAUACCAAAACUCUAGAACUCUGUCUAUAUAUGUUUUUUGAGACAAUCUUAACAAUUCAUGUGAUCGAUCACAAAAUAUUUUAGUGCCUCAUUCAUAUCUUUCAUUUCAAAUUUAUUUGAGAGAAAAUUCUUAGUUUCAUGCAAUAGGCCAAGAUCGCUAUUGGCAAGCAAAAUAUCAUCAACGUAUAGAACUACAAAAAUAAACUUGCUCCUACUGACCUUCAAGUAUAUACACCAAUCGACAGCAUUUUUUUAAAAACCGAAGGAAGUAUUGGUAUCAUUGAACUAAUGAUAUCAUUGUCGGGAAGCUUGUUUAAGUCCACAUAUUGACUUCUUUAAUUUGCAAACCAUGUGCUCUUUUUCUUUUAAUAGAAAACCUUCGGGCUGAUCUAUAUAGACUUCUUCAUCUAAAUUUUUAUUUAGAAAAGCAGUUUUUAUAUCUAUUUGGUGCAACUCUAAGUUAUAAUGUGCAACCAAAGCUAUAUUGAUUUUGAGUGAGUCCUUUUUAGACACCAAAGAAAAUGUCUCUUUAUAAUCAAUACCUCCUUUCUGAGUGAGACCUUUGACUACUAGUUUGGCUUUAUAUCGUUCAGUAUUAUCCUUUAAGUCGAGCUUGGUCUUAAAGACCCACUUACAUCCAACUGUCUUACAACUUUCGGGCAAAUCAACAAUAUCCUAGACCUCAUUCUAUUCCAUUGAUUUCAACUCAUCAUUCAUGGAAUCAAUCCAUUUUGCAGAAUCAACACCUUUUAUGGCUUGUUUGAAAGAAACUGGAUCUUUUCUUGUACCUAUAUCAAAAUCAAAUUCUUGUAGAUAAAUCAUAUAAUCAUCUGGAAUGGCAGAUCUUCUUUCUCUCUAAGAUCCUUAAUGUCAUCCCUUGCGAUUCUUCUACAACCUGUUCAGUGGUGAUAACUUCAUCAUGGAGUGUCUGGUCAUUAAUUUGUUGUUCAAUGUUGUCAAAUUAUGUGACAACUGUAGAAACAAUGAUUUCUUAGAAAUCAUAGGUAAAGAGACUUAUACCCUAACUUGUUGAAUUUCUACAUUUCGUGGUUUAUCACUCCUAUUAGAUUCACCAUUCUUAAUGAAUCUGAUAGUACCGAUCUCUAUAAUUCUCAUACUAUGGUUAGGACAGUAAAUGCUAUACCCAUUGGAAUUUUUGGGAUAACCGAUAAAGUAUCCACUGAUCAUUCUGAAAUUUAAUUUUUUUUCAUGCGGAUUAUAAAUUCUAGCCUCCAUUGGACAACCCUAAACAUGCAAGUGUCUUAAACUCGAUUUUCUUCCUGUCUACAACUCAAAAGGAGUCUUUAUAACUGCCUUACUAGGAACCGAUUUAAUAUGUAUACAAUGGUCUUAAUGCCUUCCAUCGACAACGAUAUGGGUAAUAGAAAAUUAUUCAACAUACUUUUAACUAUAUCUAUAAGUGUAUGAUUACGUCUUUCAGCUACACCAUUUUGCUGUGGCAUUUUCGGCAUAGUGCAUUGAGCACGUAUGCCAUGCUUUUCUAAGAGUUUAGUAAAUGAGUCAGAAUGUUGUCCUGUUUCAUCAUACCAACCAUAAUAUUCACCACCUCUAUCAGACCUGACAAUUUUUACCUCUUUAUCUAAUUGCCUUCAACUUCAAUAAUGUACACCUCUAAGGCAUCCAGCGCUUGAGAUUUUUUGUGCAACAAAUAGACAUAACCAUAAUGUGAAAAAUCAUCAAUAAAAGUAAUAAAAUACUUCUCUCCACCAAAUGAUGGGAAGUCAAAAUGUCCACAAAUGUCUGUAUGGAUAAUUUCAAGAAGUUCUUCACUUAUUGUGGCAUUUUUCUUUGUGUAUUUAGUUUGCUUUCCUUUAAUGCAAUCCACACAGAUACUGAGAUAGGUAAAGUCUAGGUUUAACUUCUAUUCCCAAUUUUGAAGAAAUAUCCUUCAACAUCAAGUUUAGAAACAGAAGUCAAAUUUCUAGAAAUAAAAAGAAUAUAAAGAGUCCGAAGCAAAUCUAAAUGAUAACCAGUACUGAAGAACAAACAAUAGGUCCCAAUAGUUAUAACUGAAACUCUGACCCCAUUCCUCAUAACAAUAAAACUGUCAUUUGGAUUUCGCAUCCGGGUUGUAAGGAAUCCCUACAUCGUAUUUGAAACAUGAACAUUAGAACCUAAAUCGAACCACCAAGUAUUAGAAGGAACUUCAGUAAAGUUUGAUUCAAAACAUAUGUAAUUCAAAGGCUCACCCUUCUUUUCAAACCAUACCCUACGUUUAUGGCAAUCUUUUUGAUAGUGUCCCGAUUUUUUGCAAAAAUAACAUUUAUCAUUAUUUUUUUUCUUCUUGUGACCCUUGUUAUCAUGAUGAGGCUCUUUACUCUCAUAUGGUCCACCUUUUAUGCCCUUUUUUGGCUUCUAUUUCUUUUUGGCUCUAUGACUUAAAAGGUUGACAGAAUGAUGUCUUUGCUGUUUAAGUCUUGUCUUUUCUUGGACAAGCAUACUGGUCAAUUCAUUCACAUUCCACUUAUCCUUAUUGGUGUUAUAGUCAAUUUGAAAUGAUCCAUAUUAAGGAGGCAAGGAGUUCAAAAUAAAUUGAACCAGAAAAGAUCCACAUUCAUCCCAAGAGCCUUCAUCUUAGCAGUUAUAUUAGUCAUUUCAAAGAUGUGCUCAUGCAUCCUACAAGUACCAUCAAAUUUCGUGGUGAUAAGCUUAGCCAUUAAUGUCCCUGCUAGAGACUUAUCAGCAAAUUGAAAAUGUUCUUCCACAGUUUUCACUAGUGCUUAAGCACUGUCACAUUUAGGAAGUGUUGACUUAAUGUUGUUCGCUAUACUCAUCCGCAUAAACAUAAUGCUUAGUCUAUUCGAUCUUUUCCAAAACUUAUAGAAAGCCUUUUCUUCCGCACUGCUUGUAUCAGUAAUAUCAAUCGGUUUCUCAAUUAGGACAGCUAAAUCAAGAUCCAGAAUACCAAGGUGAAACUGGACUUGUUCAUUCCACUUUGAGAAAUUGGUUCCAUUAAAGAUCGAAACAAAAGAAGCCUACGAAUAAAGCGAAACAGGCAUAGAUACUGCAAUAAGAAAAUCAACAAUAAAAAAAUACUUGCAACAUUAAUACUUGCAAUAAAAAAAUGCUUACAACAUUAAUACUUGUAAUAAGAAAAUUGCUUAUAACAUUAAUACUUUGAGUUAGCAAUAAUAAUAAUGAAUAACAUAGACAGUGUUACCAUAAUAUAUCUUUGGAUAGUAAUUAUGAAACACUAAAUUACUAUUAUACUGAUUCACUCAGAAAUAAUUAAUGAUAUAGGUCCAAAUUCAAAUAGGCCUGUCACCUUCGAGCAUCCAAUACCUAUUAAAUCAAGGAUACNNNNNNNNNNNNNNNNNNNNNNNNNNNNNNNNNNNNNNNNNNNNNNNNNNNNNNNNNNNNNNNNNNNNNNNNNNNNNNNNNNNNNNNNNNNNNNNNNNNNNNNNNNNNNNNNNNNNNNNNNNNNNNNNNNNNNNNNNNNNNNNNNNNNNNNNNNNNNNNNNNNNNNNNNNNNNNNNNNNNNNNNNNNNNNNNNNNNNNNNNNNNNNNNNNNNNNNNNNNNNNNNNNNNNNNNNNNNNNNNNNNNNNNNNNNNNNNNNNNNNNNNNNNNNNNNNNNNNNNNNNNNNNNNNNNNNNNNNNNNNNNNNNNNNNNNNNNNNNNNNNNNNNNNNNNNNNNNNNNNNNNNNNNNNNNNNNNNNNNNNNNNNNNNNNNNNNNNNNNNNNNNNNNNNNNNNNNNNNNNNNNNNNNNNNNNNNNNNNNNNNNNNNNNNNNNNNNNNNNNNNNNNNNNNNNNNNNNNNNNNNNNNNNNNNNNNNNNNNNNNNNNNNNNNNNNNNNNNNNNNNNNNNNNNNNNNNNNNNNNNNNNNNNNNNNNNNNNNNNNNNNNNNNNNNNNNNNNNNNNNNNNNNNNNNNNNNNNNNNNNNNNNNNNNNNNNNNNNNNNNNNNNNNNNNNNNNNNNNNNNNNNNNNNNNNNNNNNNNNNNNNNNNNNNNNNNNNNNNNNNNNNNNNNNNNNNNNNNNNNNNNNNNNNNNNNNNNNNNNNNNNNNNNNNNNNNNNNNNNNNNNNNNNNNNNNNNNNNNNNNNNNNNNNNNNNNNNNNNNNNNNNNNNNNNNNNNNNNNNNNNNNNNNNNNNNNNNNNNNNNNNNNNNNNNNNNNNNNNNNNNNNNNNNNNNNNNNNNNNNNNNNNNNNNNNNNNNNNNNNNNNNNNNNNNNNNNNNNNNNNNNNNNNNNNNNNNNNNNNNNNNNNNNNNNNNNNNNNNNNNNNNNNNNNNNNNNNNNNNNNNNNNNNNNNNNNNNNNNNNNNNNNNNNNNNNNNNNNNNNNNNNNNNNNNNNNNNNNNNNNNNNNNNNNNNNNNNNNNNNNNNNNNNNNNNNNNNNNNNNNNNNNNNNNNNNNNNNNNNNNNNNNNNNNNNNNNNNNNNNNNNNNNNNNNNNNNNNNNNNNNNNNNNNNNNNNNNNNNNNNNNNNNNNNNNNNNNNNNNNNNNNNNNNNNNNNNNNNNNNNNNNNNNNNNNNNNNNNNNNNNNNNNNNNNNNNNNNNNNNNNNNNNNNNNNNNNNNNNNNNNNNNNNNNNNNNNNNNNNNNNNNNNNNNNNNNNNNNNNNNNNNNNNNNNNNNNNNNNNNNNNNNNNNNNNNNNNNNNNNNNNNNNNNNNNNNNNNNNNNNNNNNNNNNNNNNNNNNNNNNNNNNNNNNNNNNNNNNNNNNNNNNNNNNNNNNNNNNNNNNNNNNNNNNNNNNNNNNNNNNNNNNNNNNNNNNNNNNNNNNNNNNNNNNNNNNNNNNNNNNNNNNNNNNNNNNNNNNNNNNNNNNNNNNNNNNNNNNNNNNNNNNNNNNNNNNNNNNNNNNNNUAUGAUAGAACAAAGAUCCAUGAAGUCAGCAAGUUAUUAUAAAUAUAAGAAAACAAAACCCUCGUCACAGCCCGCCAAUGCUAGUCCUAGCAGAACUAAGGAUAACCAUAAUUAUUACCAUCAUCCAUCCUCAGUAGCAAGACUAUGAGCAGGGAAUGGGAAUCACGCGGAUCGAAGAAACAGAACCAGACGACGCGGAUCUACUUUUCCAGAUCUAGAACAAGCAGAGCCACAAUGGGCGCACUCGUCCCCUUCCUCUAUUAUUUGCGGACGGAAAGCGGAAGUCAAAAGCUACAGUCGGUGAUGAGAAAACUAGAUCUUUGGGUGAAAUGGUGUAGUGCUCGUUCUUUCGUUCCCACGAUGGUUGGGCCCCGUAGCAUUACUCUUUCUAGGGAACGGUGGAUGCUCUGCAGGCAACAGCUGGAUCCACCAGCCGUAGAGAAGAGUGCAUAGAUGAGGAAGAAUCCAAAAUCCGAAAAAUUGAAAAAAAAAAAAGAAGAGAGAUAGUUCGAAAACACCAAAAUAUCUCAAAUACAACAAGAAACGAAUCACCCCAUUGCAGAAUGAAAACAACGAGAAAUGAAAAUGAUAGAGGAGUUUAUCUCGUUCUGGAUCCGCAAUAAUAUCAUAAUUAAAAAAUUCAUAAACCCGCUCUGAUAUCACAUGUUAACAAAAAUUCACAGGAUCUGAAUAAUUAUAAUUGUUUAAAUUUCUUUUCAUGUUAUAAAUAAUUGUGUAUCUGGAUCCAUUAGAAUAAUCUGAACAAUGAAAUUCGUUAUUUCUCCCUCUUGACCUUGUUUAACACUUGUGAUGGAGACUGUUUUUGUGUUUUUUAAAUAAGCAGAGAGAGAGACCGUUUUGUUUUUCAUUAUUUAUCUUUUCAUAAGAGAUAAGGGCGUUAUAACAACUUCUUUGAGAGUCAGUUACUAUAAUCAUCUAGUAACCAACUACGACUGGUUAUAUGGGUCAAAAAAUCUAACAUUAAAAAGAUGAGAAGGUCAUCCCUUGACUAGACAAUUGGUUGGCUCAAAAAUAAAACAGUCAAUUGACUUCUAUUGGGACUUCUUCUUGGAUGAAAAAUCUAAGCUUGUUAAAACUUUGACUUCUAUUGAGACCUCUUCUUGGAUGAAGAAUCAAGCUUGUUAAAAUCUAACUUAUAGAUCGAACUAUUGGAGUGCCUGAUCAGCUACUUCACUCUAAAGAAAAAGUAAGGGCACUACCAGAAGCAUACCUCCCGUAUGAGGCUAAGAAGAACUAGAGCAAGUACCAACAGCAUGCAUCAGAUUAGGCAUGGCACUACGAAAUUGCAAUAGUUCUCAAUCAUCACCGCAAAGUGUCUCCCACGCACCUUUUCAAUUUGUCCAUGUCACAUUUCCAUGUUUUAGACCUCUUUAAUUUUGGAGUUUUUUGCAUGGAUACCCUUCUAAAUAUCGAAUUUUGCAUGGAUAUUCUUCCAAAAUUAAUAUUUGCAUGUAUACCCUUGUAAAACUCUAUUAUUGUACAAAUGCCUGUAAUAUAACGGUAUUAAAAAAAUCAUAUUUAUAUUAAUUAAAAAUAAAAUAAAAUUUUAAAAUUACGCAAUUGCCCCUAUCUUCUUCUUCUGCUAUUAGGAUCACGAUCUAUUUGCAUGUCUACCCAUUAAGGAUAUUUUAGUCAUUUUAAUUUGAAACCAUUAAUUUUUUAAUAUCGUUAGAUAGCAUGGGUAGAUAUGCAAAAAAACAAAAAUAAAAAAAGAGUAGAAUGACAAAACAAGUGGUUGACGAAGGUAUACAUGCAAAAAUCAAUUUUGGAUGGGUAUUCAUGCACAAUUCGAUAUUUAGGAGGGUAUUCAUGCAAAAAACCCUUAAUUUUGACCACUCCCAAUGUGUAGAAGAGAAAAAAUUGUGCAAAAUAUUGUAAUCAAUUUGUAACAUAAUCGUGCAAAAUGUUUAGCAUGUAGAAGCAAAUGCAAUAUAUGCCUCUCUUAUGGUACAAGGAAUUUAAAGCCAAGAUGUAUCUUGCUAUCUAUAGCUUCUUUUUUGAAUCGUAUACAUCAAAUACUGGUGACAUAGUGAGUAGCUACUGUACAUAGAGGAUGAACACAUUCUUAAACAUAGAUAUUGGACCAAGCAUCCUUAAGAUCUUGUAGCCAUUCAGUGCAAGAUAUGUAUUGCAGAUGUGUGACUAAUGAUGAGGAAAAAGAAAGAAACACAGCAAGAAACAUCUUUGUUUCAGACUUUAACAGAGAAAGGAGGCGGCCCAUUUCAUGCCUGUGAUGAUACUCAAACCUAAAGUUUGGAUUACUUGAUUUCCAAAAUCAUUUUUUUGUAUUUCAAAAUUUAAAAAUAUAUAAAUAUAUUAGAGUGGAUCUGAGUGGAGAUCCACUCUAAUGUAGCCAAGUCCAGAUCUCUCUCUCUCUCNNNNNNNNNNNNNNNNNNNNNNNNNNNNNNNNNNNNNNNNNNNNNNNNNNNNNNNNNNNNNNNNNNNNNNNNNNNNNNNNNNNNNNNNNNNNNNNNNNNNNNNNNNNNNNNNNNNNNNNNNNNNNNNNNNNNNNNNNNNNNNNNNNNNNNNNNNNNNNNNNNNNNNNNNNNNNNNNNNNNNNNNNNNNNNNNNNNNNNNNNNNNNNNNNNNNNNNNNNNNNNNNNNNNNNNNNNNNNNNNNNNNNNNNNNNNNNNNNNNNNNNNNNNNNNNNNNNNNNNNNNNNNNNNNNNNNNNNNNNNNNNNNNNNNNNNNNNNNNNNNNNNNNNNNNNNNNNNNNNNNNNNNNNNNNNNNNNNNNNNNNNNNNNNNNNNNNNNNNNNNNNNNNNNNNNNNNNNNNNNNNNNNNNNNNNNNNNNNNNNNNNNNNNNNNNNNNNNNNNNNNNNNNNNNNNNNNNNNNNNNNNNNNNNNNNNNNNNNNNNNNNNNNNNNNNNNNNNNNNNNNNNNNNNNNNNNNNNNNNNNNNNNNNNNNNNNNNNNNNNNNNNNNNNNNNNNNNNNNNNNNNNNNNNNNNNNNNNNNNNNNNNNNNNNNNNNNNNNNNNNNNNNNNNNNNNNNNNNNNNNNNNNNNNNNNNNNNNNNNNNNNNNNNNNNNNNNNNNNNNNNNNNNNNNNNNNNNNNNNNNNNNNNNNNNNNNNNNNNNNNNNNNNNNNNNNNNNNNNNNNNNNNNNNNNNNNNNNNNNNNNNNNNNNNNNNNNNNNNNNNNNNNNNNNNNNNNNNNNNNNNNNNNNNNNNNNNNNNNNNNNNNNNNNNNNNNNNNNNNNNNNNNNNNNNNNNNNNNNNNNNNNNNNNNNNNNNNNNNNNNNNNNNNNNNNNNNNNNNNNNNNNNNNNNNNNNNNNNNNNNNNNNNNNNNNNNNNNNNNNNNNNNNNNNNNNNNNNNNNNNNNNNNNNNNNNNNNNNNNNNNNNNNNNNNNNNNNNNNNNNNNNNNNNNNNNNNNNNNNNNNNNNNNNNNNNNNNNNNNNNNNNNNNNNNNNNNNNNNNNNNNNNNNNNNNNNNNNNNNNNNNNNNNNNNNNNNNNNNNNNNNNNNNNNNNNNNNNNNNNNNNNNNNNNNNNNNNNNNNNNNNNNNNNNNNNNNNNNNNNNNNNNNNNNNNNNNNNNNNNNNNNNNNNNNNNNNNNNNNNNNNNNNNNNNNNNNNNNNNNNNNNNNNNNNNNNNNNNNNNNNNNNNNNNNNNNNNNNNNNNNNNNNNNNNNNNNNNNNNNNNNNNNNNNNNNNNNNNNNNNNNNNNNNNNNNNNNNNNNNNNNNNNNNNNNNNNNNNNNNNNNNNNNNNNNNNNNNNNNNNNNNNNNNNNNNNNNNNNNNNNNNNNNNNNNNNNNNNNNNNNNNNNNNNNNNNNNNNNNNNNNNNNNNNNNNNNNNNNNNNNNNNNNNNNNNNNNNNNNNNNNNNNNNNNNNNNNNNNNNNNNNNNNNNNNNNNNNNNNNNNNNNNNNNNNNNNNNNNNNNNNNNNNNNNNNNNNNNNNNNNNNNNNNNNNNNNNNNNNNNNNNNNNNNNNNNNNNNNNNNNNNNNNNNNNNNNNNNNNNNNNNNNNNNNNNNNNNNNNNNNNNNNNNNNNNNNNNNNNNNNNNNNNNNNNNNNNNNNNNNNNNNNNNNNNNNNNNNNNNNNNNNNNNNNNNNNNNNNNNNGACUUCCAUGAAACAUCAAGAGGGAAGAUCCCCAUAAUGCUCAGCCCACUCAAAACGGACUUCAAAGUAGCUCAAGUCCAAAGCUCUCUGGGCUCUAUAAAAAGGCCUUCACAUAAGCGCCAGACAUCACGAAAAAAGUUUGUUAGCUACGACUACUUUGUUCUAGUUCAAAUGUUAUAUUGAAAUCCCCCCACUUGAGAAUCCAAGGCAGACCUAGCAUAGAAUCAUACAUACUACAUUAAAAUGAGAUGUAACAUGAGUCUAAUCUUUCCAUCUCAAAUUAUUUAUGCUUUUUAAUGAAUCAAGCACUAGUUUUAUGUCCAAACAUGAGAAGAUUAGAAAGAAAACAACCAACAAAUUAUAUCACUCGUCAGAUGUUCGACAGCAACAGCCGGUACACGCUACAAUCAACUUGAGCUAGGUGGGACAAAUUGAUAAGAUAACUAAUGUGGUACCACUUUUCCAAAGGAAUUGAGCCCACAAAAAGUAACAGACUAAACACACUCUCCCAUUAUAUGUCACCUUCAUCAAGUGUCUCCCUUCUAGGUCCCACCUAACACCUCUGUGUUUCUACAGAUACAACACUAGUGGUGUGCUGCGAAGUAAGGUUCUCAUGUGAAACCUCUUGCACAAAAGAACCCGGAAAUGCGCAGCAAAACCUCCCCUCAAAGACUUGACCAAGCCACCUCCCCUUAGCUUUCUCCCCACUUCUUCCAGCCUGCAUGCCUUGACAAAAAAGAGCCCUGGGAUUCCAUCCUCCACCCUCACCGAGGAGACUUGGAAGAAGAAGCUUUUGGCAACAUGGGCCUAAGGAAGUACUCCAUGGAUGAAGACAUGAGUCUCUGCUUCCAAUCUCCUCCUUUCUUUGAAUGGCUCAUGCCACCUUCCUCCUCCUCAUCCUCACCCCUAGCAUCAGAAUGCUUGCCUCUUUUGAGUAGGCUUGAAGAGCCCAAGAAGACCAUCAAGGAAGAAGAUGACUCCUUGGGAAAGGAUGUCCCCCGAGAAAAGGUCGCUGUGGCCUUGAACAUUGGACUGCCAGGUGCUUCAGGAGAGCUUGAUGGAGGGACCGAUCCUUUGUACUCUAAGAAAGAAGAAGAGAAGGAGAUGGAGGGAUCGCCGGCUUGCGAUUCGGGCAAAGAAAAAAGAUUUUGGAUUCCGACGCCAGCUCAAAUCCUCACAGGGCCGUUGCAGUUUUCCUGCACCGUGUGCAAUAAGAGCUUCAAUCGGUACAAUAAUAUGCAGGUUGGCCUCUCAACAGUUCCUUGAAAUAUAUUUGAACCUUUGAUUUGCUUCCUUUUUCCUAUUACUUUCUAAUUAUGGUGUCUGAAUGUGUAAAACUUUAUUCUUCCAAACUUGAAUCCAUAGAAGACUAAAUAUUCUUCUUAAAAAUACGAAGGCCAAUUAUUUUAUUUUUCAAUUUUUAGAAAUUUAAUUUUUUAUAAUUUUUUUUCUUUUCUUAUUGACAGGAUUUAUAAGUUGUUUGAUGAGUUUUAUCAGAUCUUUUGAGAAUUAGGAAAGAACUGUUUAUAAAUUUAUUUUAUCCUUCAAGCAGCAUCAACCUCUUGUGAUGCUAAGCAUAUAUUCCAAAAUUCUGAAGUGAAGAAAAUGUAGAUUUAAUUGCAGUCUGACAAAUCGAAUACUUGUAAUUGUUUCACUUUCUCUAUGCUUCUAAUCACAUAUGCAGAUAAUAUUUUCAGGCUGGUCCAAAUUUUCUUUCUAUGAUUUUAUUUUUUUGAUUUUCACAAGUGUUCCACAAACAUAAUAAUUUUAAUACGAAAGAAAUAUCUGAUCGAAAUUACAAUUUAUGUAGCCUUUUUGUUAUUUUAUCUGUUUAUUUCAUCUUGUUUGAUCAGAUUAGUUUUAGUGACUGAUUGGCAGUGUCCUUGGCAAACACAUAGCCAAAGAAAAAGAUAGAUCAAGUAAUUAAUAACUAUGUUUGAUUAAUCAUGUGAGACCAUCUGAUUCUUCUCCAUUUAUAUAGCUAAGUAUAAUUGGUUUGUGAUAUUUAUUGUUAUAGAUGCAUAUGUGGGGCCAUGGAUCAGAGUAUAGAAAGGGACCAGAAUCUCUUAAAGAUACACAGCCGAUGGCAAUACUCAAACUUCCUUGCUACUGUUGUGCUCAUGAGUGCAAGAACAACAUCAAUAACCCUCGAGCGAAGCCACUGAAGGACUUCAAAACCCUUCAGACUCACUACAAGAGGAAACAUGGAUUAAAGCCCUUCAAGUGUAAGAAGUGCAGCAAGCCAUUUGCUGUGAGAGGAGAUUGGAGAACCCAUGAGAAGAACUGUGGCAAGCUGUGGUUUUGUACAUGUGGGUUUGAUUUCAAACACAAAAGGUCGCUCAGUGAUCAUAUAAGAUCAUUAGGAAAGGGUCACUCUCAUUACCUUCCUCCAAAGAUUUCUGAGGUAGAGAAGGAAUGCAUCAUAAGUUUUGAUGAUGAAAUGGUCAAAGGAAAAUAUCGUUCUACUGCAUGAAAGUUCGAAGAUAUUAGGCUUAUGUAAUCUUGUGCUCAGCAACAAAAAAAACUCUAGGGAUGUCUUUGCUUUAGAAGACUAUAGAAGGGAGUAGUUUGUUGUGGAGCACUAGAAUAAUGAUGAGUACACUAUUUAAAAUGUGGUGUCUUGGUUAGUUUAUGCAGCAAAUAAAAGAGAGAAUACCUAUGAAAAGAUUGUGAAGUAGCUGAAUUUUCUUCUGUCUCAAGGUUAUAAGUGCCAUAAAACUCUGUGGCCAAAUAACUCAUGUGUAAUCUUUAUAUUGGAGAAAAUUUCCCAAAUUCACAGACUAUUUGAGUCAUUACAAUGAUGAACUUUUAUUCAUUGCAUAUUUCUAUUACUCCCGCGCAAAUAUAUAUUUUCUUGAGCUGCAAUUCAACCAUAAGUAAGAUCGAUGGAGGUAUGAUCAUACAUUGAGAACAUGAACAUGUCAUUAGAACUAGGUCAAGUGCACAAAGCAUAAAUUAUGGAUGCAAUCAUUUAAAACCCAUAUUUUAUGCCUUGUUUUUAUAGUCUAGGUAAUAAACUUUUUCCAGUCCAACUUUGAGGCCCAAAGGCACCUGACUUAUCCAAUACUACCCCAUUUUGUGUACACAUGCUCGGGGUACAUCAAUUGAUGUGGUUUAAUUGCCUUGAAGGUACCUUUGACUGCAGGUGUUCAUGAUCCUUGGCCCCAUGAACUAGGAAUCAAAACAAUGUUCAUUGUGAAUUAUGGUAUGUUGACUAAUUUGCAAUGUGAUUCACAGAUUCCACCAGGUAUAUGUCUGGUGUCCAGGUGGUGGGCAUCGUAUUCCAUCUACUACUCUUGCAGACAUCUCUAGGGUAAAUUGUCAUCCAAAUAAAAACAAAAAUGAAUUCCAUGUGUACUAGGUUGAAUGAGUAUAGGUGUCGCUACCCUUGGUAAAUUCUACCAAGUACACAUUAGGUUUGAUUGGUGAUUUAUAUGUUCAUCAAAAUUUAGAAAACUAAUUACAAGAGAUAUUUAUUAGCCAUCAUAGGCAUUUCAUUUCAAAAUAAAUACGGGAAAAUUAUUUUUGACUCCCUCAACUUUAUCCACUUUUCAUAUGCACUCCUUCACUUCAAAUUUUUUUAAUGAGAUCCCCGAUAUUAUAUUUUGUUGUUGUUUUGAUCCUUCUAGCCAUCGUUUCUAGAAUGUUGUUGACAACCAUCCACAAAGGAUGAAAAUAUGGGUAUAGGGUAGAGAGUGGAGAACGCCCAGUAUGAGUUCAAUUGAUUCUCCUCCCUUCAAAACCCCAUCUUCCUCUUGGUCCUUCAUAUUAAUCAAAGCUCUAUGUGAGUCUCGCAUAUCAACAAUCACCCACAACAAUCCAAUGCAAGCUCGUGAGUCAACCAUAGCUUCCUCUCAGUCCCCUGCCUCUAAUUUUCUCUAGCUUUAGUACCAAUUCUCUAACACUUGAUCUCGAUCUUAGUAGUUCCAGGUCUUAUUAGGUGAUACGUUAACCUGGAAGUCUAUUCUCUUCUUUGCUUCAUCAAGGACUAGUUCCUCAAAUGCUAGGUCUCCUCUUGCUUCAUCAAGGGAUUGGGUAUCUCGACCUCGUACAAGGAAGCCAAGGGGUGCCACAGGACAUCUGGCAGCAUGGGCAAUGGUGAGGGCAUGGUGGAUCAUCCCACAACCGAUCCUAAAGAGAACGCUCAAGAACCACAUGCAACACUACCACAUGUCACAACCCAUUGCUCUCUAUCUUCCUCCACGAGUCCCAUGAUAUCGGCAAGACCUCCUGUUGGCGCUCUUUCCAUCCUGUCUAGAUGUUUCGCAAUGUCUACUGGUAGAGUCCCAUUCGGUGCUGAAUUCAUUAUUUCUUCGAUCUUCCAACAGCUUUUCGGUGGAGCAUUGAGAUCACACUCUCUAUAAUGCAUUCGAGGAUUCUUGAUCAUUAGUAAUUAUGGGUACCAGUACAAAUCGACCCUUGUGCUAUUAUGUUGCUCCCUCGUACAUAGAAUACGCAUCAGAUAAAAAACUUUUGGAAUAAUCCUUCGAUAAGGUUGCCGCCCAACCCUUGCGACAUUUAUGGAUGAUAUUAUAAAGUCAUUAUAUUUUUGCCCGUUGCUCUUGUGUAAGCGAUCAAGAACUAAUGUUGAUAAGAAUUUACUGACUUCACCAAUGAUCCUCUAUAGCGCACCAUAACCGACAAUCUCAAAAUUCGAUCGGUAUUGACUGAAACAUCUCUCGAUAGUUUUGUCUGUUGCAACCUUGCUGGCAUGACUUCUACAAUACCUCCAUCAGUAGAUUCCAAUGUUUCUAUGGCAUCAUCUUCGAUUAUUAUCUCCUCAUGAGUCGAAGUCUCCAAUUCUGAUUCUUCAUACACUAUAGUACUUCCAUACAUUGGUUGAUAAGCUAAUUUGUCUAUCGCAAGGAUGGGUUCGACCAUCUUUGUUGUAGAACUCGUCGGAAUGUACUGUAGCUUUGCAUAUCGACUUUACACGAAGUAAACAAGUUUUUCAAAUUGUUCAGCUACCAAUACCAAAGAUGUUGUAUACCGCUCUAAAGUGAUCUUAGUAUAGCGGCCGCUUUCUCUAUAGCUAGUUUUUUGGCUUGCUUUGACAGUGUGAUAAUGACUAUACGAUGUCCCACAAGGCAUGCUACAAGGCUUGUUGGUGCUUUUUCCAUCUCAUCCGGAUAUGUCAUAUGGCAUGUCAGUGAUCUGGAUGUAGAAGAAAAGACUGAAGAUAAGCUAGAUACUGAGGAUUGGUGCGUGUGGGCUUGUCAGUGGUGUCAAAUCAGCCGAAAAGCGAUCAAAUAGAGAAUAGAGAGUAGUAUCGAUUUAGGUGCCUUAAUUUUCAAAGACUUUCGCCACCAUCAGACCACCGUUCAAUGUAUAAGACGUAUAGCAUUAGACUACUAUAAAAGGGUGUAACGCUAGGCUACAGUAGAAGGAUGUAGUAUUGGGCUACUGUAGAAAGGUAAGUUAUACCUACUCCUAUGAUAAAAGAUAAAGUUAAGAUAAGAUCAAGAUGCAUUGAUUGAUUGUCAAAGGAUCCUUUUACAAAGUACAAUUUCUACUUAUUUAUACUAACAUAUAAUAACUGUACACUUGGGCGGUUGCUCUCACAUCUAGUCUCCACUCGUGGCGGUUCUGGUAGAUGAUGUCAUUUAUUCUCUAUUAUACAUAUUCAUCACAUAGUUGCUCUAAAACUAUUAGGUUGAUAAUCAUAUCUUUUUAGUCUACGGUAUAACUUCAUUUGAGACUAUACCCAAGACCGCUUUAGUUACCUCGAUCUAUUGUCAUAUACUGUGAUUGAUCAUAGCUAGGUUCUAGGCUUUCGGCCUACUUUUGCUAAAACUCUCCUCCUUCGAUGUAUAUCUCGAUACUUGGUAAAAUUUAUCAUAGUUGAACCCUCCCAAUCUAGCAAGGGUCAUGUGAUUUUCACAUGCUCUAGCUUCAUCAAACCCGAUCAACAUAAUGCUUGCUCUUAACUAUCACCUAGGUUGUUGAGAUGAGGUGUAAACACCUCUCUCCUCCUCAGCCUCCUUCCUACUUGGAGCAACAACCUCUAUGUUGCCACUUAUGUCAACUUCGCCAACAACUCUUUCUUCCACCACUACUUCCAACAACCCCUUGGUUAUUUGGCCACUAUCGGCUCCACAUGGCUGGCAACACCUAGCCUCUUAUGUGCCUACCUACCCUUAGCAUCAUUGGCAACCUGAUGUCUUAGGUGACAUCACCUCCAUCCUAUCCUUCGCUAGGUUAUUGACCCUAGCCUUCACCUCUCCCCAUGUUGAGACAAAUUCGAGGUUGCCCUUUGGGCCUAAGUUGUGCUUGCAUUCUUGGUAAGGAAUGGCCGAAGGGAGAUCAAUGUUGCGGAGGGUCAAUCUGAAGAAGGUACUCCAUGGAGGAACUGGCGUUCUUCUCACAGAUGCUAACACUGACCGACACCAUGGUGAAUUUUGAGAUCUGAGACACAAUGGGGUAGGAGAGGUACCAUAGCAUGGCUCCCAUACACUAUCAAGGUGUUGCUACUUCCAUCAUUAUGUAUAUUAUCACUAGCAUGGUAUGAUCAUGACCAUUGAAUCUCAAAUCCAUUACAUCUCUUGUGAUUCAAGUCACUUUAUUUUGAAGUAUUUUAAUUCAUAAAAAUAGAACUUUUAUCGAGCUUUUUAUUGAUAAGUUUCUUAUUUGGUUUUUCUCUAUGGUCUUCAGGAUUCAUUUAAGAGAGGUAAGACAUGGGUGCAUUCGGGAUGAAGCUGGCGAAACAAUUGCUAGAGAGUGUUAUGGUUAUAUCUCAAGAUCAAUACUAUCAUGGCACCAUAUACCAGUUAGUGUGUACAAGACUCACCCAUAAGAUGAGAGAAAAUAAUAUUAAAUAGAGAGAGAAGAGAGAAGGAGAUGCCUCAAGUUGAUAGUGGAUACAAAAUGCAGAAGAAACUAGUUUCUAUUAUUCACUUUACCUUGAUAUGUCAUAGUACAUGGAUUUAUAUAGAACCAAGAAAAACUAGCUUGGAAAAGAACAUACAAAAAUUGUACUUCGACUCUCAUACUACUAUUAAAGACACAUUAAUAGAGGAAAUUUCAGCAAAUAGAACAAUACGAUCUUCUACGAUAGGCAACUACAUUAAAUUCGUUUUCUAUACUAUCUAGAGACUAGCAUUGCACUUGGAUUCAAUUAUUAAGUCCAAAUUAGACUUCGACUCCACCAUGAACAUGGCAAUGACUUGGCAACGCGAUAUCGACAUUAUCUUUAACAAAGAGAACGAGCGACCAAAGGGACAGGAACGAGAAGAUCCAUAUCGGGAGGUCACCUGAGAAGCUAUCAUGAGCAAAGGAGAGAAAGCAGAGACACUGCCGCUUGAGUUUGGCAUUGCUGAGAUCACAAAAAGCUUAUUGAAGUUGCAGCAAUCUUGAGGCACUUGCAUCUGGCGAUUUGUUAUUGGUAGGCCUUUUGUUGGGAUUUCUAUUAUUCUAACAAAAAGAAGAAUGGAGGAGGAAGUGGAGGCAUGGAUUACGAUGGAAGAAGAGGAGACUACGGAUCUUGAAUCGGAUGGGAAGUUAUAUUCUUUUGUUUCUCAGAGGAAGGAGUAUGUUGAUAGGUAAUUGGAUCAGUUUUAUUAUUUAGAGUAGUGGGGGGAGAGGGAGAAAGAUGGGAAUGGGAUGGGGUAAAAGUCCUAAGCCACCCUUAACCCUAAAAGACAAUGAUAUUUUAGGCUUAAAAUUCAUUUAAAGUUAUCAUGUGAUGGUCCCAUGUUGCGAUACUUUACCUAGUUAAUAGAGAUGGAUAAAAGGAUCACAUUCUAAUAAAAUAAAAUAAUAUCGUAGAUCUUCAAUAAAAUUUUAAAGCGGAGAUGAUGUGUUUGAAAAAGAAGGAAAGUUGAUAGAGUCUUCGUAAAUAUAAUACAUGAAGAUUAAUAUGUGCCAAAUACAUCACAUCUAAACCUCACGCGUGAGGAAGAUACUCUAGAAAGGAGCUAAGUGGGUGGGCAAAGAAAUUGAUGUGGCUUACCUGUGGACUUGUAGGUACCUGUAAUUAUAUGUGCUUGGAAUCCAUGCCACGUUGCUUGUAGAGCAAAUCCAGUGGCCCUUAUGAAUCAUAAAAUUUUGACUUAUGUAUGGGAUGAUUCAUGGCAUAGGGAUUGUAUCUCUCACCUUUUUUAUUCCACACGAAUUUAUCAUUAGAUCACCUAUUAGUCACUUUGAUAUCCAUGCAGUCGAAUGAAUGACGAAAUUUGUAUCACUUUGAGAGCUGUGCUGAUCUAAUAGUAAACUCAUACGAAGAAAGAUGAAUCUUUCUUUCGUGUGAAAGAUACAACCCCUAUCAUGAUUCAUGGGGCCUAUUAGGGGAUAGGGGUCCAUCUUUCGUGCGAAAGAAUGAUUAACCCCCCUUCAUGCGAUAUACAAUCAUUGGAUCAUUAGGGGCCUAUUUUGAGAUCUGUGCCGAUGGACGAACGAUGGGCUCUCAAGCGCCAUGAGAUAUAUAGAGUGGGUAUCCUUCUUCUACGGGGAAGAUACAACCCGGUCCUACGCUCAAGAGGCUAGGGGCGUGGAUCGCAUCAUGCCUACUCUCAUAGACAUCUAAUAAUUCGUUCCCUAAAUUAGAGCGUCUUAAGAAUAAAAUGUAAAAUAUUCGUGAAUGAGAGAGAGAGAGGAAGAGAGAGAGAAGAGAUGAAAAAUGAGAGGUGACUUGCUAUUGUUGAAAUGUGGUGCAUCUUGAGUCUUGACCUGGUGAAAAGGUGUGAGAAAACCUUCAAAGAUGUUUGAAAUUUGAAGUUGAGAGGAAUCAAUGGGAAGGCUUCAGUAGAAAAAUGGUGGGUUUGUGGGGGGGAAUGAGACCGCCACUGAGCUUUUAUUGACCGAAGACACGGAGAGAGAAAAGAUAGUCUACCUCUUUCCCACUGGCAGUCGGUCACUUCUAACCUCCAACAACUCAGUUAUAGGGCACCUCUACAAAGCCAAGCCAAUACAGGUGGGGACAACGUAGUAGGAAGGGCAAAUCUUGGUGCUCAUAUUGGGUUGAAAAUGGUGGCAGGCUGAGGAAGAACGAUGCACGACGAUUGCUACCGUGAUCUACGGGACCAGUGGCCAAAACAGUAUGUUGGUGACUUGGUGUUCUUGGACUCAUUGUAGCGGCCAAAGCUGCAGUCAAAGGAAGCAUGGCUGCCACUCAAGGAAAGUGGAGCUCCUUAGUUCUAUGACAUUCGCUGCCAGAAUAUAUGUAAAUAUUAGCAUAAAAUUCCAGCCUUUUGAUAGAGUUUUAAUUAGGAAGAAAACUAAUUUUUUUUAAGAAAAAGCCAACCCUUGUUCCUUGUGUUAAGAACGCAUUUGGUUUGCAAGAAAAGAAAGGGGGAAAAGUGUAGUCAACAAAAAAAAUAGAGAAAUGCUUCAUAUUUAGUUAGAGUUUUCAAAAGAGAAAGAUAAUAAAAAAGUAACUUUGUCGUGGAAAUAAGAUUCUCGCAUUUUGGACUCGUUUGGUUCGCAGGAAGAGAAAGGAAGAAAGUGUGGUCUACAAGAAAAUAUAGAAUGCUUCAUGUUUGGUUGAAUUUUUCAAAGAAGAGAGAUGGAAAGGAGCUUUUUCAUUAGAAUAAGAUUUCUAUAUUUCAUACAAAGAAAAAUUCGUGUAAAGUCACUUUCCCACCAAUUAGGAAUUGGGAUAAUUUUUGUCUAAAACUACCCUUAAGCUUUUAGAUAAAAUGGGAUAAGAUCUUUCCCUUUAUUAAAGGCAUAAUAGGCACUUUACAUAAUUUCUCAAGAAAGUAGAUGUUCAACCAAACAUCAGCUGCUCUGAAAUGUGACUUUUCCAUGGUCAACUAAACAUGCAAAAAACCACUUUCCCAUGUAUUAAUACCCAGACAUCAACUUUGUUAGAAAAACAUUCUAGCGAUGAAAAAGUUUUCCUACGGACCACAAGAGUCCUUCAUGGGAAAGAAAAACCUAUAUAGGACAUGAAAAAAUUACAUUCUCGUGGGCUAGGAAUUAAUUUUUUUUUUUUUCAAAAGUGUCCUUAAGCUUUUAGAUAGAAUGAGAUAAGAUAUUUGUCAUUUUUUAAGGGCGUCAUAGGUAUUUUACAUAAUUUUUCUAAAAAAUAGAUGCUCAACUAAACAUAAACCACUCUGGAAUAUGCCACUUUUCCAUGAACAACCAAACAUUCGAAAAUCACUUUUUUAAGUGUCAUAUUUAUAGGCAUCUGCUUCCUAGAAAAAAUAUUCUGGUGAAAGAAAACUUUUCCGGCGAACUAAACGGGUUGUAAAUAGCAAAGGAUAAUAUCAUGCAAAUUAAAGGUCAGUGGUAGUCUAUAGAUUUUUCAAAUUAGUAUCUUGAUCUUAUUGACUUAGUAUAUUACUGUUGGUCAUUGAUUUUGAUAAUUAUUUUUAUUUUUAAUUUCUAACACAUGUAUAAUUGUAUAGAAAGAAAAUAUGAUUAUGUUAAAUAUAUAUAGCUGUGUAUGAAAAAUGGCAACCGACCGUCAUGGGCUAAACAUUAAACAAAAGUUGGUCAGAGUUUUAGUGUAAAAUAACAAUCAAAUAUAAAAAUAGAAAUGGCAGCACUACGUUCACUACCCAACAGGGGAUCCUCCAUAUAUCGUCCAAAUUAUAUGAAAUUGUCAUGUAGCUUAUAUCCUGAUUGUAGGAAUUUUUUGAGCAAUUUGCACUGUCCAUCACUGAUCCGAUGCUCCAAUGAGUAGCAUCAAUCUUCUUGCAAUGAAUAGAGGUGCAGCAUAGCUUUUUUUUUUCAGCUAAUUAUUAUUUAUUAGUAUUAGAUAUCUUACCUAAAUUCAUAACCAAAUGAGCAUAGCAAGACAUUAUUUUGCUACCAUUUCUAAAUGUUAUCUAGCUGUUGCUUUACCAUGCAUGAUCAUCAAAUAGUGCCCCUUAAUAAUUUACGAGAGAUACUGACAAAGUUCAUCCUUCCCGAAUCUCAAAGGAUAUACAUAUAUAUAUGUUUGUGAUGGAAGCCAUUGCAAGGCAGUAGGUUGUGUGUAAUUCUUUGGGUGCAUCUAGAACCUCACCUUGCUACUAAAGUCAUGUUGUACAAUAUGUAUCAGGUCAAAUUUUAUAUAAUGUAUAAUAAUAAUAGUAAUAAUAAGACUAAUACUAACGACGAUGAGGACAAUGAAAAUGAUAAUAAUAACGACAACAAUGCCAGCUACAAAGCACAGCUUCUCUAAUGCACACAUACAUAUUGUUGACUAACCGAGCUUUCGCACAUUGAUAUACUCCAUCUCCAUGAGAUGGUGUAAUAUCUACUUGAAUGAAUGAUAUUUGGGAAGCUUCUAUUCUUAGAAUAGUGGUCUUAUAUACCUCAUUCUAAUCAUGCCCCUCGAAUUUUCUUAUAUCACAUAAAUUUUUUUUAUAGUCAUUUGAUAUAUUUAAACUUUUACCUUAUGCAGUUUUUAGCAAUUUUUAGCAUAAUCUUUUUGAAUAGUUUCCAACACCUUAGUGCCAUGUGAAGAUUAAACAAACCACCCAAAAACAAUACAGCCAACAAUAAAUCCAAAACCUGCUGGCUGGUGCCCCUUGCAUUGCCUCUCAAGGUAACAUCACAAGGUUCCAUCGUCCUUGUACCGAGGUCAAAAAUCAUCCAACCUAAGAGAAACAAAACUACGGCAGAUUCAUCCUGCUUUUGUUUCCUAUCUACUGCAACUGGAAAUCUCUAGGCCUAAGUUGUAUUCGCAGCAUCUGAUCCACUCAUCAUAUCAACUCAUAUGGAACUUGGGCAGCUUGGCUUUCUUCCUUGCUGGAGCCACCCCUACCCAAUAAUUGGCACAAAAAAUAUGCACAUGCUAGCACAUUCAUGGAUUUAAAUUCAUGGAGCAGUAGAGAAUUCCUUUCCCACCAAAUGGCCCAUGAACUGAUGGAGCUCGGAGUUCCUUGUACUUUGAACAUAUAUAUCAGAGAUCUCCAAAAUAUUUUGGUAAAAGUAAUGAAAUAUGCUGAAAACAAGUUGUUGCUGUCGAUCAUGGGAUACCAACAUAGACCGCCUAUGUGGAUCUGUAGGAUAACCGGCAAGACUCAGAGAGUUCACCAGAUUGGUUUUGGCCAGGCCCUUCAAUGCUUCAAUCAGAAAAAGUUGUUGUUGGUGCAAAGUAAGGAAAAAGGAGAAAAUGGAUAACAAUUCCGAUAUUAAAGAGUGGUGGUAUGUUCUCCUUCUCUUACCUUCAUGCAUGGCCUUUCUAGCCUUUUCAUAGAUGGGAUCCCUCAUCUUCAGUGAAUCAUAUCCCAACAAACUCCAUAUUAUGCCGUAACAACUAGCUGACGUAGCGCAACAAUCUGGAGACAUGCUGUAACCGCUUAGCAUGUGAUUGCUGGAACUUUGCAUCUACUUGGGGUGGAGAUUUUGCUCGAUCGAGGUUGCCGAGCUGAGCUAAGGGAUUUCGUCUUCGGAGGUCAACUACUUCUGGUCUACUUAUCCCGGCUUUAGGUCGGCUUGAAGGAUCUAACCAAAAUGCCAUGAGGAGUUUCUAAGAGCACCUGAGUCGACACAAGGAUGAUAAGCUGGAUGAACCUAAUCAUGCCACAUCUUCUUGAUCAUUUGUUACCAUAACACUGGCUCUCCCUACUUUUGAGAUCGAAACGUCUCUUUGGUUCAGGCAAAGGAAGUAACCACUUUGUCAGACUCUAUCUCGCUUUAAAGAGGGUAAUAACUCUUAUGUGUCCCCCUGAAGGAUGAGUCCUGACGCUCUGCCUCUUGAGGCAUUGUUGACCAUCCAAAGUGGUAUGGAUGUGACACACGUCCGCUGAUUCAACUAGGUGGAUUGAUCCAGGCCAUCCAAAAUUCUAUAAAAAGAUGAGAAUGGCCUCUUGCCAAUCUGCUACUUCUUGAAGGAUUCUGAACGUCUUUGCUAUCAUUUUGAGAGAUUCCUUCUUUUCUCCUCAUUGCAGGAUAGAGCUUUCAUGGACUUUACAUAGGAGGAAGGUCUUUAACGCCACAUUAAUAUGCUCUAGUAAGCUCUAUAAAGGGCCAUGGAAAACGUGGCCAAGGUUGAGGCUGAGUUGGGAUCCCUUUGGAGCAGGGUAAGGGUCGAGAUGGCUACCAUGGAGGCUGAUGCCAGUAGGAAGGUAGUUGAUGUGGAGGCCAUGCCGAGGGUUAUUGAGGAUAGGGUGAAGACGGCUGAACUCCAAGCUUUUAGAAUCGAGAGGGAACUGCAGGCAGCAAAUUUCCAAGGUCGAAAGGAGGGCUUUCCAAACAGUUGAGAAGUACAAAUCUUCAAUCGACUUCUAGCAAGAGAUCACUAAGUCCUUCUUGCAAGGCUUCUAGGAGCACCAAAAAGGAACAAUGAAGCUUCAACCUGACCUAGUCCACCUUGUACCGAAUAGGAGCUGUGCUAAGAGGAGGUGAGAUUCGGUGAGCAAGCACCCUUCAUCGGAGUAGGGAGAGUAGAAAUCCACAUUGGUCUUCUCCUUGAGCCUCCAAGGUGAAGGCAUGAGAUGAGAUGGAGGGUAGCCUUCUGAUCAUAAUGACCCUGUCGAAGUUGUCAACCUCAUAAGGCUGGAGUUCGGCUAGUCCGAACCCCCUUUCCUUGUAAUGUAGUGGUUUGGUCUGGUCUUUGACCUACUAUGUAAUCAAACAUUAUUAUUGAAAUAGAACGAUUUCCAAGCAUACCUUUUCUUUCUCAUGGUUUUUGGAUGUUCGCUUGAGGUUAUCUCAAGGGUGCCGUGGUGGACCUAGAUAGGCCAGAGACAUAAUUUUUCACGAUUGGUUGAAUAAAGCCAGAAGACCAAGGUAAGGUCGCAACCAAGCAAAUCCAAGGAUUUGAGAUCAGUGAAUGCUUCAAGAUGAGGCCUUGCCAAGAUGAGGAUGAGAUUACAAGAUCAUAAUGAGAUGAGAUCAUAGUAAGACGAGUUGAGCUCGAGUAGAGACCAGCCGAGAUAGCCCCAAGCGCUUUAGAGAUAUCACGAUAAUGCUUCGAGCAUAAUUCCAUAAUGGCUAUAGCGCCCAUGAAGAUAAUCCAAAAUGUCCUCUAACUAUAUUAAUAAGACCAAAAUUUCAUGAGGUGCUCGAGGUCGGCAAAAAUAUCACAUGCAUAAGAAGUAUUUGAAGAUCAUUUUGUUGAAGUAAAGCGUAAUCCUUCAUGGGCCUUCAAGCCUUUGAUCAAUUAGAUUCUUUUAGACCAUCAGUGCUCAGGUCGAGCAUGGUUCUUCGCAUCCGAGCCCAAUUCAUAGUAGGACUUCUAAUUAGUUGAGUUCUUCUAGUCAGCGAUGCUCAGAAUAUCGAACUAAGCAUGCCUCCUUCUGUCGGAGCCUAGUUUGUACUAGGACUUUUGAUCGAUUGGAUUCUUUUGAUCGAUGAUACUCAAACAAUCAAUUCGGAUGUGCAUCCUUCCAUCCAAGCCUACUUUGUACUAGGACUUAUAACUAGUUGGGUUCUUCUAAUCGACGACGCUCGGAUGAUCGAACUAAGCAUGCCUCCUCCCAUCCGAGCCUAAUUUGUACUUGGAUUUAUGAUCGAUUGGGUUCUUUUGGUCGGCAAUGCUCGGAUGAUCGAACUGAGCAUGCCUCCUCCCAUCCAAACAUAGUUUGUACUUAGCUUUCUGAUUGGUUGGGUUCUUCUAGUUGGCAAUACUUGAGUGAUUGAAUCAAGCAUGCCUCCUCCCAUUCGGGCUUAGUUUGUACUAGGACUUCUUGGAGGUCUCAGUCAAUCUUGGGGCAUCUCCACAGGAGUACGUGAAGCUUGGCUCUCCAAAUUUAGCUUUCUAUCCAUGUAGGCUCAUGGAAUAGAGGUCCCAAUUCUCUAGAUUUAGCUCCCUGUCUACCUAGACUCAUGGAAUGGAGAUCCCAGCCAAUCUUGGGGUAUCUCCAUGGGUCAGUCAUGGCGAGGUAGAAAGCAAUAUUAGAGAUAAGCUGAAACACAACUCUAUCAUCUAUUAGUAACAAAGGGUACAAAAUUUAAUUUCACAAUUUUUGUUAUGGUCAGCCUUGAGGAUAUCAAAGCUAUGAUGUUCGAUGCUCUUCUUGCCUAGUGAUCUUGACUUUUCUGAAAUUUUGUCUCGUCACUCAGGUCUUUGAGUCACAAGCUUUUUCUUGUUGGAACCCCUUCAUGGAUGAAGGUGAUCAACCUGAAAAGUGGCCUACUACUAUGUUGCCUCUCUACAGUUUGUUCAUUCCGCUCUACACUCUCUCAUUGGUUGCCGACAUAGAGAUGCAUCAAACGAGGGCUUCCAUCUCAUCCGUCAGCUGAAAGUAUUCUUUAGUAUCGAACCUGUGGUCUUUGUGGAACUAGCAAAAUUUAUUUGGGUCCCUCUUGUUAGCAAGGGCCUUUAUCUUCCAAGACUGGCCGAGGUACCCCUAGUUUUGAACCUAUACCAUGAUUUGAGCCCUUGGAGCAUUGAGGGCAGUCUACCUCUUGAACAUCAAAGGUUCCGAGGUCGCAUAGCGACCUCUUCUUCUCGCCCAUUGUUUCUUCUCGACUCAUCCUUUUAUUCAUGGCUUGGUCAUUUUAUGCCAUUCCUUCCUCAUUCUACCUCUCUUUGAGCUAUCAUAGUCUCCUUGUCUUGGAUGUGUUAUCCACUCGAGAGAGGAGUUUGGAAAAUUUCUUUGAAGGUCUCUUAUCCAGCGAAAAGCAAAAGCACAAGAUCUUCGGACCAUUCAUCACUAAGGCCACCAUGAUGAACCGGUCUAGCUCAUGCACUGCGAGGCUUCCAGCAUUGAAUCGGGUAAUAUAGCUUCAGAGGGUCUCAUCCUCCCUUAGCUUGAUGGUGAACAGGACAGUGGAGACCCUCUACUAUUUUUGCUACUAAGAAAGUAGCCGAUGAAACAACGGUUGAGUUGAUCAAAAGAACUAAUCGAUCCUAACCAAAGGGUUGAAAUUCGGAGCCAAGCAGUCUUUUUAAGAGUGAUGGGAAUGCCUAGAACAUUAUAGCAUUGUUGGAUCCUUGAAGCAACAUCAAAUAUUUGAACUUUCCUAGAUGGUCCACUAGAUCUAUAGUGCCAUCAUAGUGGUCGAAUAUCAUCAUCUUAAAUUUCUAUAGUAGAGGCUCUUCUAGGAUCUCCCUAGUGAAGGAAAGAUCGCUGAUCACCUAUGAAUCAUCUUCACCUUUGGUCCUCUACUCUUGUAGGACUUUCAUUGGUUAAUAUAUCUCCUCAAUAUCAUGGAGAAGGUCUGCCUCCUACUUGUAAAUUUCUCUCGGAUGGUGCGGGAAAGAUUCAUCAGGGCUGGAACUUAUGCCAGAGAAAGAGUAAUCAUGCCCCCAUCCCUACUUAAGAGUGUUCGGGAUGGUGGCGGCUACAACCUUGUGCCAAGGCAUCUUGGUGGUCCGAUCGGCUAGCAAGGGGGUUAUUGGCCCGCUACUGUUGACACCACUAUUAUUAGGGCUUGCACUUGCUGAGCAAGCAAGUCAAGUCAAUCAGCAUCGAUAGCUCCUGCGGCUAGCUAGGAAGACUAAGAUCUCAAAGGGCUGCAUGGGAAACCGCUAUAAGUAGGCUGGACAGAAGCUCGAUGGUUGCUCCUCUUGAGCUUAUGGCUUUUCUUCCUCCCUUCCAAUAGACAGCACCAAUAUGUUGCUGCUGAUCUCGGGACAUCGAUGCAGACCACCUUUGUGGAUCUACAAGAUAACAAGCAAGGGUCAGAGAGCUCACCGAAUUGGUUCCAGUUGGCCUUCUGAUGCUUAAGUCAGAGAGGGUUGUUGUUGGUAGGAUGUAAGGAAGAAGAAAAAAAUGGAUAAUAAUGCUAAUACUAAAGAGUGGUGGUGUGUUCUUCUCUCCUACUUUCAUGGAUAGUCUUACGGGCCUUCUUAUAGCUGGGAUCCUGCAUCUUCGGCGAAGCAUAUUCCAACAAACUCUAGAUCCAGCACAUGAUGGAAUUUCUGAAACCUUGCAUGUUCUUGGGGUAGAGGUUUUGCUCAACUAAGGUUGCUGAGCUGAGUUGAGGGACCUCGGGUUCGGAGGUCAGCUACUUCUUGUCUACUCGUCCCAGCAGUCAAAUGGGCUUGGAGGUUCCGAGCAAAAUACUUUGGAGAGUUUUUGAGGGCAACCAGAUCACCACGAGGAUGAUGAGAUAGGCAAACUUGAUUAAUCCCCAUCUCCUUGAUCAAUUAUUGAUAUAACACAAGCUACAGUCUAUCAAUUGAGUGCAUAGCCUAUUAGAUGGAACAUUUCUAGAAAAAUUAACCACCAUUUGGAUCAUUGAGUAAUUUUUGAAGCCAUGGAUCAUUAUACAAUUUUCUAUCACUCUGCUAGACAUAAGCAUCUAAAAGCCUUCGAUCGAGUUUAUACAAUGGCCUUUAUGAUUUGGCAAUAGUUUUCCCAUACAUGCAACCAGAAAAGAAAAAAAUAAAUCCUAUGAUUUUAACUAGUCAUCGAUUGCUUGGGUUCUCAUACAAACCACCACCAAAUAAACUUAUGAACAUUCGAACAUUAGAAUAAGAAAUCCCUCCUCUCUCUUCUCUAUGCCUCCCGCCACCCAUCCGCCUUAUUCACUUGCCUAGAUUGGACGGGUCAGGCCUAGGUCUUUAAUUUUUGUGCCAGACUGGGCAUGGGCUGCUAAAAUGCUGCCGAUACCAGACUCUGGCUUGGUCCGGCAUCUACUUCAGUCUAAGCUUGCAUGCACCUUGGAAAAUUUUUCUUCGGGUAGGAAAUAAAACUUGGAGAUAAACCAAGUCCAAUCGAGGUUGAGGACCGAUCUAUAUCUCUUCUUGGCUCCGCUUGUCUCCUGUCUUCCUCAUAAACUUCCUUGUUGACCCCUCUCCUCCUCAAAAUCCCUCAUCAUUCACUGCUCUCAAUCCAUGGAAGCCUCCAAGUUUGACUCCAUGGAUAAAAUUGGAGUUGUGUUCAUAUAUUCCCUCCUAUCCUCAGUGCUUGGCUUGUUCCCUGUUGUUUGAAGAGCUAUAUUUCUUUAUCUCUUUAUUUAUUUAUUUAUUUAUUCUUUCGGGUUAGCCAUUCAAUAUGUUGUUAGUUUUUGUUUGCUUUUUCUUAUUUCAUUGUCAACUUUUGGUUUGAAUUGCAUGGAGUUUUUCUUUUCUUUGUGUUGUCGUUGACCAAUUUUACCUAGGCACUGAGCAAAAGGGGAUACUGGAGGGAUAGACGGUGAACUGCUUUGUCAUGCAGAGCUACAACCCAUUCGGAGCCACCUUAAGGAACUAGGUUGCAUCCAAGAUUUUGGUCUAAGGUCAAGCUUUCACCUAAAAUAGCAAAGAUAAAAAAGUCCUCUUAUCUAAGAGUAUCCAGUGGAAGACCCUCCAACACCCAUCACCGAAGGAUUUGGGCACGUGGGUUGACUAUGAUUGGCGUGCCACUGCACGUUAUGAGGAUUAUGCAUGAACAUUUUGCACGUGCACCACGCCGUGCACAUCUCAUAGGUGCAAUUUUGAAGACCACCAGGGAUCAUCGCUGAGGGGUUACCAGCUGCAGAAGAUUUUGAAAUUUAAAAGGUUGCCUACGCACUUCUCAGGCUUGCCACGUGGCAGACCCUGGUUACAGUUCAGAGGCUUUGUGGAGUGUGUUGGUUAGCCAAUCUUUUAAGUGAGUUGUAAUGGGCUCCAAGGCUCAUCACUUGCCCCUCAUUUCUAUAACUGAGAUAGGCCUAUCAGCGUGGGUGGCGGAAGUAGUUUCACCAGUAGUGCUGACCACCGAGGUAGCCCACAAAGUCGAGCCAAAAUGAUGCAAUUGCUUUCCCACGCCGUCCUUCCAGUUCGAUGCUGGGAUUCCCCAGAUAUCACAUUUAUGAGAUUUCCCAGAUAUCGCAAUUAUGAGAGGCAUGGUUAUCCUUGCUAUUUCCAAAUUGUCAUGAUUAUGACGGAAAUACCAGCACGCUAAUUAGACAUUGGAGUCCGAUGGCUAUCCAGUGGAUCAUCUGAGGAUGAACGCUCGGGCGACACGUGGCUAGGAUAGGUGAGCCACCAUACCAACAUAGCCCAUCCAAGGUUCAAUAAAGAGAGCGAAGGGAUGCAACGACCCUUCCACCUCGUCCUUCCUCGCUUUGAAAUUGAAAGAGAAAGAGAGCAAUCCUAGGGUUUGGUCCGCAGUCGUUUCUUACCAAUGCUCAAUUUCUCACCAACCAGUAAAAUGGUAUUUUGAACAGAUCACCUGAGCCCAAAGAGACGAAGGAUGCAGAAUAACUUGGGCAGCUAACUUACAUCGGCAAGCUUGACGACGCGCCAAUAACGUAGAGAUCCCGAGACCCCCUUGCUGUUUGGACAUACGCAUAAGAGAUCAUAUGAAGUGUUUUUUGAUCACUAGGGUGGCCCCAUGAUGAAGUGGGAUCGAUGACAACACUUAUUCGAGCAAGGUUGCUAGAUGCUAAUGAUAGAGCCUUCCAUUUCCAGCUCUCAACCUUUAUGGUCACCUUAUUUAUAAGAAAGUCAAAUUACAAACUCCCCUCCGUGAUGAAAUAUUUAGAAGAUUGCAAACCUGUUGUUUGACAGCAGGUGCCAUAGAUGGGCUAAAAGUGAUGUAGGAUUUAAAAUAAUUUAUUGCUUGACCAGAAAGAGAGCUAUAAGUGUGAAGAAUAGAUGAUGUAGCUCUAGUCACUAAUAACCAGUCAUCAGCACAAAAAAAAAAAAAGUGAUACAGCAGGCCCUCCUCUAGGUUGAUAAGCUCAGAAAUCUGGAAAGAACCUAAGAGCAUAGGAUGAAUAAAUAUGGUGAGGGAGGGUAUUCUUGCCUUAGACCUCUAAAUGGUAAAAACCAAGGAGUUGGCGUACGUACUAUUAACAAGCAAAGCAAACUGAGGUACAUAAACACAUGCCCCCACCCACCUUAUGAACUUGGCAUGAAACCCGAAUUGCUUCAAAUUAUGAAUCAAGAAGGGCCAAUGGACACGAUCAUACGCUUUCUCAUCUAUUUUAAGCUUCAUCAAGCUUCUGAAAGGAGGUACCUUGCUAAGAGUAUGCAUUAAAUUCUUGAGCUAGCAAAAUAUUGUCUACCGUGUUCCUUCCUUGAACAAAUAACCCUUGUUCAGCCAAUGCCAGCUUAGGGAGAAUAGGUUUUAUCUUGUUGACGAGAAGUUUCGCCACUAUUUGUAGACCAUAGACUAAUAGGUCUAUAAUCAUUCUGUUGGGGGAAUGUAAAUCGUCCCAAAGCACGUGAGCACAUCGCCAGCACGUGAUCAGAAGCGCCCGACCUCNNNNNNNNNNNNNNNNNNNNNNNNNNNNNNNNNNNNNNNNNNNNNNNNNNNNNNNNNNNNNNNNNNNNNNNNCGACCUCAGAAGCCCAACCUCACCAUCCACUCGCCGCAAUCACAUCCUUCUGCAGCUCGACCAGAGACCAUGCCCUGCCACCGCCGCUAACAAUUAAUGCGAUGGUCUCUGCAGACUUCCGGCUUACUCAACAAUUAAUGCGCAUGGCUAAUGCUAUCUACGGAUCUCAAGCCCUCCACGGCAAAUCUGCUCGGCUGCGUCUGAUCAACCAUAACAACUCCUUGGCUUCGGCCUGAUCUCCUACGGCAAGGCAUUAAUUCACACGAUCGUGCAUUAAUUCAUACGACAUGCUCAAUCAUACGGUAACUUUGCCCCGUCAUAUCACAGGUAAUCCAGUACCCCUCUAUAAAAGGGGAACCCUCCGAUCUUAGAGGAGGCUGGACGUUGGAACUCUGGGCAUAUAUUUUCUCUUAUACGUUUGCCCCCUCUGACUUAGGCAUCGGAGGGCCGGCGCCGGAAACCCGAGCCACCGGAUUUUUGCAAGCCCCACGGAGGACGCCGCCCGCCGACGGAACACCACCCGCCGACUCUCGCUGGAGCUCCUUCUUCUCAGCCACUGGUCGCCCCCGGGUCCACUUUCCAGCAACAUAUUCAUUAAUUCAGGAUUAGAUUUUCUAGGUUAGAGUAAUAUACGUUCUUUUCCAUGAGCUAGGCAAGAAAUUAUGUCUAACGAAGUAUUUGAUUGCAACAGUUACCCCCGUUUUGAUGAUAUGCCAGAAAUACUGAAAGAAGAAAUUUGGAAAACCAUCUGGGCCAAGAGCUUCAUCCGGGAACAUGCUUUUUAGUACUUCUUCAAUUUCAUCUUCCCUUAAUCAAUUACUCAUUUUGAUCUAUUGUAAUAGAAGAUAAAAGCUAAAGUAACUCCAUGUCCUCCAUGGACUCCUGAGCUUCCCAUCUCUGUUGGAAUUAGACACCAAUAAGGUAUGAAUACCUAUAAUGUCAUCAACCCUUAUCCCCUAAGCAUUAUGAAGUAUGUGAAUUUUGUUCCACCUUCUUCUAAGCAUGGUGGAUCAAUGAAAAAAUCUUGUAUUUGCAUCACCUUCUUUCAGCCAACCAACUCGAGACUUCUGCCUCUAGCAAACCUCUUGCAUAUAUGAAAAGGUUUUUUCGAUACUCUCGAAGGAAGGCCAAGAGCUGGUUAUGUUGUUGUUUCCUUAGGCCCCUGGGUUGUGCUGCUUUCAAUUGCAGUUCAUAAAUUUGGUCAAGAAGUCACCAAUAUUUCUCUUCCAUUGUUUAAUGGCUUUCCUAGUAUUGUGCAAUAACACUGAUAGUUUAACUCUUGGUGAAUAGUUCUCAUGACAUGUCCAGGCUUGUUGCACCACAUCUUAUUGGGAUUGAUCCACUUGUUCUCCUAUCCGAAGCAUACAACAAUAGAGAGCAAUAAUCGGAUGCAAAUCUAGUGAGAUGCGUGACUAGAUUCAGGUAAUAAAUCCACUCAUCCAUCUUAUACAAAUGCUCUAUUCAACCUCUCCCAUACCCUGGCAAAAUUAUAACGAUAUUUACACCAGGUGCAAUGAGGACCCUAGAACCCCAAGUCAAUUAGGUCUGUUUGACAAAGAAAAUCUAAAAAUUUCCUAAUAUCCCCACCCACAAGAAAAGAUUUACCUUCUUUUUUAUAGAAUACAGUUUAAUUCACCAAUAAGGAGCACAGGUAAGCCCAACGAUAAAAUAGAUACAACUUCCUUCCACAGGAUUCUGUGCUCAAACCCAAGGUGGCCCAUUGUGUGGUGCAAUUACCUGGAAAGCUACCCGUCUGUUUACAUGAAUGAAAUGAACAUGACCCUAAGCAACAACGAUUCCCCCUGAUAACCCUAUAGACGAGAUCAUAUGAACAUCCCACAACGGACCCAUAAACCUUCGGAUUCUAGCUAAAGCAUCACAAGCAAGUCUGGUCUCCAAAAACAACAAAAGAUUUGGUGAUAAUUCACAAAGGGAAGGUUAGCCGCACCCCUACAAUUCCAUGCAAGUAUUCUCAUGAGAAUAGUGGUGUUGGAGUUACCAAUCCCUUACUAGCUCCAACAGCCUCUUUGAUGAGCCCAGGUUAGGCUCCUUUGUGCAGGCACUAGAUGAGGACUCCACCGAAUUAGACACAACAGUGUGUGAACGCCCCUUCAGUGCUUCUUUGAUGCCUAGUUUAUGUUGUAGUUGCUGAAAGAGGGAGUUUGAGAGGAGGUACUACAGUCAUCUUGUAGUUGCCCGCUAAGGACCGAGGCUCUCUAAGAGGGAUUCGCUAUUUAUCCUCUUCAGAUAUUCAAAACAGUAGCCACUAAGAUGGUAACCUGAUGGUAAGGAGGCUUGAACUCCACCUAAGUUGCCCGGAUUCAAAACGCGCGGAUGUCGAUUAAAUCAGAAGACCGAAAGCCCCACACCUGGAUGACUCUGUGUGGAUAUGCUUUCCUUCCAUCUGUACUGAGAUGGCGCUGGGAUGACGUACUCAUAUGUGGUUGUUGAUCUCAAUGGGGAGAGCCCACGAGUCGGAGAGGGCACGCAAACCUGCGACCUGCAUCGAAUAUUUUCUGGUGGAAGGGGCCUAGUGAGAGCUACUACACGGGUGGGCUUGUCCUUCCCCCUCCCCUCCUAUUUUUGAACAAAAAAAAAAAGAGCAGCAAGUCUUCUGACAAGGGGGGCACACGGAAAUGCCCGUGCAAAUUUCAUCUGAGCUUAAGCUCCCUUUGAACAAAAUCGAGGGAAAAUUCGUUUACAAGAAACAUUCUCUGAAUCCCCCCGAUCUAGCUCCAUUUCAUCCCCCUUUCCCUCUGAAGAUAAGGAAGAGGAAGCACUUGGCCCCACUUUCUCUCUCAACUCAUAGUUUCUGACUUUAGAACGGGCACUAGGAUCGAUUAGUUUGUCAUAGUUCCUUGAGACUCUUGGUUUGUCCCAGUCAUACUCUUGGUUUGUCCUUUUCCCUGGAGACUUGCAAUAGCUAAUGCCUAAUAAUGUCUUCAUCAACUAAUAAUUUUUGCACUUUAUCUAGAGGAAACUUACAGCGGAUUGGGUGGCUUCUGUUUAUUUUUCUUAAAUUAUUCAUUUGUAGAGAUUAAAACAGGGAAAGCAUUAGCAGCCAUUGCUGACCAUGAUCAUGGGGCUAGGAUUCAUAUGGAUGGGACUAAAAAUUCUAUUGCAUUCGUGAAGGGGGCUAUAAUAACCAGCAAAAUUAUAGAAUUAAAAGGUUGAGCUAGGUUUAUAAAUUAUAUUUAUAAGUAUUCAGAAAUAGCUUGGAAUCGGCCUAUAUUCAUAGGUCUUUUUUUUCUUCCUAUAGAAUUUGGACCAGCCCACUCCAAAGCUAUUUUUGGAUACUUAUGAAUAUAAACCUACAACAACCUAUCAUCCCAUGAUUUUGAUAAUUGUACUGGCCUAAUUUGGAAAUUUAAUAGAAUUUCCAGCCCAGUAUCCAAACAGGCCCUAAUGGGUGGCUUAACCUUUAUCCGGCUUUUUUUUCUAGACUUCAAACUAGCUUUCCUAGCGUCUGGGUACAUGGGACUAAAAGAAACUUUCUACAUAUUAAAAAGCACAUGAUGUCUUUAUUACGAGUUAAGGGUUUUUAUUCAGUCUCUUUAACAGACAAAGAAACGGAAUCCAUCUGCACUAUAAUUAUAAUAUAAGUCUGGUUAAUUAGAAAUGCACCAUCCAAGACUUAAACCUAAAACCUAUAGUUAUUAAAUGAAGGGGGUGUUAUCAUUAGAAUUUGCUUCAUUCACUUUUAUUUAGGAUUUUAUCCAAGAAAUUUUCCACUAAAAACAAUCUAGAAUGCAAGAUAUAGGUGCAUGCAAUAAUAAAAAAAAAGAAGUUGAUAACCUUUUAGAAGAUUGUGAAAGUUUACAUGUUUUCUUAUAAUAUAAAAUGAUAAAUCAAUGUUUUAAGGUACAAACAAAUCAACCAGGCUGAUAUGGAUCAAUGUUUUAAGGUAUAAACAAAUCAACCAGGCUGAAAUGGAUCCGUCAGUCCCACGCUUGUAAAUAUACAAGCCCAUAUGGCCUAAUGACCUUCAUUGGUCAACAUUGACUUGCUCAAGUUGACUCUCUGUUUCAGCCACUCCAAAUCAACAACUUUAAAGGUGCUGAAAUUAAAAAAAAAAAAUUAUGAAUCUACAUUUUAGAGUUAAGAUUUGCUUUUUAUCUACUACAAAAGUUCCUCCAAGUUCAAAUCUCCUUAAUUGUGAUUGCCAUUCUAAAUUACUUAUAUAGUGUUNNNNNNNNNNNNNNNNNNNNCACUAUCAUCCUCAUAUAGCUUAUUCGGUAAAUAAUAUUAAUGCAUAUAUUUUUUAUUCUUUUUAACACUAAGUAGGUACUAUCAAACCUACGAUAUUGACCAUACAUAUGUAAUAAAGUUUUCAUUAUUAUAAAAUUACAUCUUAUUUAUUAAUACUUUGAAAUUUUAAAUAUUUUAAUUAUUCAAAAUGUUUUUUUGUAUUGUUAUAUUUUAGAUGUUGCACAGCAUCGAAAAUGGGACCACAAAUCCGUCACACAAAACAAGAAGGUUGGAAGUUGAAGCUAAGUUUCCUCUUUCAUAGACCUAAACUAUGACUCAUAUUAGCUAACUCCUUAAACAACUUGUUGCUGGAAAUUGGACCCAGGGGCGGCCGUCGGCUGAGGAGGAGGAGCUUCGGUGGAUUCCGGCGGGCGGCGACCUGACGGCGAGCGGCGUCCUCCGUGGGGUGGGGAUCUGCAAUAAGCCGGUGGCCGGGGUUUCCGGCGCCGGCCCUCCGAUGCUUAAGUUAGAGGGGGCUUAAAUUUGGGAGAGAAGAAGGGGAGAAGAGCAGAAGAGCGUUCUGCUGCCCUUUUUCUGAGUCCAACCCCCUCCUUGAAAAGGAGGAAUUCCUCUUUAUAGGGGAGUCGGAUUACCUGUGAUGUGAUGGGGUGAGGUCGCCGUACGACUCAGCACGUCGCUCAAGUUGAUGCGUGAUCAGGUGAAUUAAUGCUUCAGCGUCGGAGGUGAGGUCGGGAUCAGAGAGUUGUCGUGGCUGACUGGACACUGCCGAGCCGUCUUACCGUGGAGGAUUGAGGAUCCGUAGAUAAGAGGAGUCAUGCGCAUUGAUUGUUGAGUGAGCCGGAGACAUAUAUUAAUUGUUGAGUGAGUCGGGAGUUUGCAGAGAUCGUGCGCAUUAAAUGCUGGGGGCGGUGGCAGGGUAUGGCCCCUGACCGGGCUUCAGAAGGGUGUACCCGUGGUAAGUGGGCGGUGAGGGCAGACUUCCGAGAUCGGGAGCUCUCCAGGUCGGGUGUUCCGAGGUUGGGCGCCGAGCUCGGCCGCCCGAGGUCGGCCGUUGUCGGUCCUUCGACGGCAGAGUUCUCAUGGGCUCGGGGGGGGGGGCUGCGCUCCCCCAUCUUAGAAAUUAUAGCUCAUUAUCCGUAUAAAUAUAAGUUUAAAUUCUAUUAACAUAGUAACUAUAAGUGGAAAAAAAAAUAUUAUACAUUCAUAUUGAUAUGUAUAUUCUAUAAGAAAACAAACAAAUUAAAAACAGCAAAACUAGCCGGGAAUGUUGAUAAUAUAGCCCGGCAAGCAUGUGGCCGACCAAAAUAUAUCCAAUUUGGAACAUCUUGUUUGAUUACAUGCUGAAAAUAUCUAAUUGAACAAUUGUUAGACAAAUAGAAAACAAACACAAUACCUUCCCAGCCUCACGAUGACAACAUCUCCGGCCAUCCCCAUCCACCCUUAACCUCGUAUUAACAAUAAUUAACAGAAGCUUGUCUUGUGAAAAGCGGCAAUUAUUACCAUAAAGCGUUCGCAUUUGAGUACAACAACGUCUUUUAUUAAUUUAAAGGGUGCGAAGCGAACUACGACCACUCUCCACCUCCUAUAAAUUCUUCUCCCCAUCGGUCUCUCCUCCUUUUAUCUUAAAAAAAACACACCUUUCUCUCCUCCUCCUUUUCUCUCUUCUUCCUUUUUCUCGUUCGGAAAGAAGAGAGAUUGGGAGAAAGAGAGGGGCGAUCUGACAUCCUUGUCGUAAUUUGAGGUAUAUUUUUUCCCCGAUCUUUUCUUUAACUAAUCUAUAAUGGAUUGUGCAUAAGAGAAGAAUGGAUCGAUCUCAUUUUGCGUAAUCGAAGCAAAUUCCAGGGUAAUUCUUGUAUUCUUUCCAAUUUUUCUUGGAUUUUUGCUGAAAUUUUUGAUCUAUAAUCAUGAAGACCGCGGCUGGCUGGGCUUUCGAUUCUUGCUAAGGAGGAAACAAGGAUGGCGGAGGAGCAGAGAUGGCAGGAGGGGCACUGCCUAUGCGCCAACAACUGUGGCUUCUUCGGCAGCCCCGCCACCCUCAACCUCUGCUCCAAAUGCUACCGCGAUUUCCGCCUCAAGGAGGACCAGGCCGCCUCUGCCAUGAUCGCCGUCGAGAAAUCCCUCUCCGCCACCGCGGCGGUCCCUCCUUCUCCUGCGGUAGCCUUAGUGGCCGCGGAGCCCGUCGUCGGAACGCUAGCAGAGCAGGCGGCGCCACCGCUUCAGCAGCAGCAGGAACGACGGUCGAACAGGUGCGGGGCGUGCCGGAAGAGGGUGGGGCUUACGGGGUUCCGGUGCCGGUGCGGGGCGACCUACUGCGGCGCCCACAGGUAUCCGGAGCUGCAUGGGUGCAGCUUCGACUACAUGGCCGUGGGUCGUGAGGCCAUCGCCCGAGCCAACCCCGUCGUCAAGGCCGACAAGCUUCACCGGAUCUGAAGACGGCGCCGCGAAUCCAUCACUUUACGCUUGUUUUGGCGGUGUCGGUGCUUUUUAUUUCUUCGUUUCGUUUCUCUCUUUUUCUUUUGUUAAUUUAUUUUUUAUUUUUAUUAUAAAAAUAUUUUGUCAAGAUAAAGCCAGGAUGAGAGUUUAUCGGAUUGUCUAGAUCUUUUUUUGUAUCUGAAACUAUCUAAAUAUGAAUAAAAAUUUGAGCAUCUGAUUAGUUUAAAAAAAAAGGCAAUUGUUCGAUCGGUAUCUAAAUAUCCGAUUUCAUUUGUAAUUCUAUUUAAUUUUAUAUAGCACUCAUAAAUUUUUUUAAAAAAUAAAUGGCCACAUUAAUAUACUACUAACUUGAUUUAUCAUCUACUUAGUAAUACCUUUCAUUCUAUGGCCAUAAAAUUUAAUUAUUCAAUUUAUAUCCGUAUUUAUAUCUCUAUUUUCAGUAUCUAAUUUGUAUCAGUAUUCGUUAAGAACAAAUAUAGAUAUAAAUUUUUACAUCCCACUAAUAUCGGUUCCAUAUCUAUAUUCAUCAAAUAAAUAAAUAUAGUUAUAGAUAUAUUAGUAUCCGAUUCAAUUUCAACCUUAUGUAGAGUUACACAAGAAUUAAAAAUAUAUAUAUGCAUUUAUACGAUUGCAGAGUCAUAAUAUUAGAAACUAGAUAAGUCUCCAGAAGGUGGGAUUUAAUUGGACAAUUUCAUAGGGGAUUGGCUAUUGUUUUGGAGCAAAAUUUUUAAAAGGGCCAUGUAUGGUCAAGACUAUUUUGAAAGAGAUGCAUAUCUUAUUUAAAUAAAGGAAUUAAUUUAAAAAACACAAGAACAAGAAAUUACACCUCCACAUCAUACAGUUGGCAUUAGGGGAUAUUUGAUGCCAUUCCUACCGCUGGCGCAAACUUAUUGUGGUAUAAAAAUAUUAAUUUCUUUAUGCCAUACCUAAAAGUAGGCCCAAAAGCAUUUUUCUUUGGUUAUUUUUUAUAAUAAAAAACUAUUUUAUAAAAUUUAGUGCAAAUAAAUGUUUUAUUUUUAGUCCUAAUCUAUUUGUUUGACUUGAAUUAGGAAUAAUUUACUAUUUUGAAAAGGAAGAAUAAUUUUUUUACUUAAUUUCUUCCUCCAAUUUACUCCACUUACCCAACUAUAAUUCAACUUUUUAUUCUUCAACUAGGAAAGUUUAGGCUACGUCUUUUUCUGAAAAUGAGUCACUUGUAUGAUAAUUUUAGAGUUUUUGUGAUUGAUCAUGCAAAGAAGCCUAUUUACAAGCAAUAAGAAAGUGAUUAUUGGGGAAAAAAAUCCCACCACGUUCUUUCACAUUUAAUGUCUUCCAUGAAUCAAACUCUUACAAAAAAGAAAGAAAAAAAAAAGAAACACAUAUAUUAAGCCACAAAUAAACUAAUAGAAAAAUCUUUUGCAAAAUAAAAGCAAAACUAUUCAUUAUAAUAUAACAUAAGGUCGCAUUACAAAGAAAUAUAGAAUAGUGCAUGUUUAUUGCAGCUAGCUGCAAACCCUUUGAUAUUAUAAGGAAAACUAGCAUUUGCCACAUGAACGUGCUUUUGCUUAAAAAAUGAGCCUUAUUUAUAUGGUCCUCAUUCUUUGUGGGGGAAAAGAGCAUAAUACCAACAAUUGGGAAGGCCACGAAGACUUAAGAUUAAUUUAUCCAUAAUAUUUGAGAAAGAGAAGUAUGUAUUUUUACUCUUUCGUUUUUGGAUGCAAUCCUUAUAGGAAAGCCUGAUGUCAGAGCAUAUGCAUGUUGGAUUUCAAAGCUUUCCUAUUACAACAAAAUAGAGCAUUUUGCCAGCCAAACUCUAUUUACAAAAUUUAUAAGAUGCAGAAUAAGUUAUAUAUGAUGCUCGUUCUUUUGGGCAUAGACUAUUUUAUGUUUGCUCAAUAUGCACUCUUUAUGUCAAUUCAUCUCUUUAGAUGACAUGCUUGAUCUUAAUUUUAUAUUAUGAGUUAUAUUAUAUGAAUAUUAUAAUAUGUCAAGCAAUAUUGUAAUUAUGAUAUAAUAUAAUAUAUAAUGUUGCUAUAAUAAGAUGUUGUUAUUCUUUUAGUACUAUAAUAAUAAAAUAUAAUCAUAUUAUCCUACUAUAAUAUAAAAAAUGUCAUUAUAAUAUUAUAAUUAUUAUAAUAAUAAGAUUUAGUAAUUUUAGUAAUAGAAAAUAAAAUAUUAUUAUGGCAUCUACAUCUACAAAUUAGACAUAUAAUAUCUUAUCUAAUAUAAUUUAGUCAAAAUAAUAAUUUUUAUUUAUCAUCAUAUCAUAUAUUAAUAUAUUUCUUGUAUACUUCUUAUAUUUUCUAUAUUAUAUUAUAUAUUAAUUGUAGUAUUGAUUAUUAUAUUAUAUUGAUAUCUUUAUAUAAUAAAUAAAAAUAUAAAAUUAAAAAUAGUAUAUGAACAAAUGAUUUUAUAUAAUGGAAAAGACUAUUACAAUAUAUUAUAAUAAUAUAUUGACAAUACUUUUACAUAUAUAAUAAGAUUAUAUUAUAAUAUAUGUAAUUAUAAGUAGUUAAUUAUAUAAGGAUUCAUAAUUCAUUUUCACAUUUAUUAUAAUAAUUAUGUAAUAGUAAUACUGUGAUGAAAUAUUAUUCUAAAAAGUUUUAUUCACAUUUAUUUUCUUGAUGCUCCUACAAAGAGGCCUCUAACUAUGUAAACUUAAUAAAUUUAGCUGUUUGUAAGAGAGCUCUUACUAUUAAAAUUUCAUUGCAAUAAAUUUGCCAUUAUGUUAAUGAAAGUGACUGCUAUUUCAGCUAAGAAAAUAUUAGAGGUGAAGCAUGGGCUAGCUAGCUCUCCAGAGGUGCUUCAAAUGUCAAAAGACAUAGGGUUCUCGAGGGUGUUUGUGAAAAUUGCUUGCUUCAGCUCAUCAGCAACGGCUAUAUUCCCCGCGAAGCGAUUGGGGGGGGGGGGUUGGUUUGAAAAGCCAGAAACCCCAACACCGUCCUCCCUCAAAUAAAAAGGGAUCACCACAUCCCAAACCUAUCUGUCUCAGCAAAAAGAAAAAAACUCUCAGGAGAAGGAGAAAGAGCUCUUUUCUCGCCCUGCAACGAUCUCAAUCAGUUCUCCCUGAAAGAAAAGCUCUCGUUUUGCGUUCUUCUUCUUUGUUUUCUAAUUGUUCUGCUCGCUAACGUUUUCUUUGGUGCAGGGUUUCUCUUUAUCUUAGUUUUAAUCUGCGUAAUUAUUUUUUUAUUUUGUGUUCUAGUCUUUGUUUUCUUGGAUUUUUUGUUUGCUGCUAACAAUGGAUGCCGGAAGUUUCUCUUCUUGCAUCUCUUCCGAGAAGGCCCGGCCUGCAUCUCGCCACCCUCUUCGAGCAGUCGGUUCAAGGCCUUACAUGCCUUCUCUCCUUUCUUCAUCGAAGGAUUUUUCUUCCCGGCAGAGCGUAAGCAUCAUCUUUCUCUUAAAGAAUAUUUGUGAUCGGCAGGAAUUAGUUCUUUUCCGUACAUAUGGGUUUUGUCUCGUUGUCCUAUGAUUUAUAUGCGUAUGUUUUUUGUCACUCAGAUGUUUGUUAAAAGUUCGAUGUGAUUUCAAGAGAAUUUUUUUGUUUUGCCCCUUUUUCUGUUCCUCAGACGUUUUCUUUCCUGAUUUUUGUGGAAAAUUGCUGGUUCGUGUAAUCAUCUUGGCUUGGAUUUAUUUCAGGGCUAUGCUGAUGUUUCCGUGCUUUGGAUUCAAUUUCUUGGCUUCUUGAUAUUACGAGUCCUUUUGAAAGAAUUCUUUUUGCCUCUUUUCUGUCCCUAAGACAUUCUCUUUCCUGAUCUCUGUGGAAAAUUACUGGUUCAUAUUUGACUUCAUGGAGAAAACAUUUGUUUUUAGGGCUAUAUUGAUGUUUCUGUGCUCUGCAUUUGAUUUCUUGGCUUGCUGAUUUCACGGGUCCUUUCGAAGGUUGCUUUCCUUGUUUGGCUUCAUCUUCUCCGUAUCAUCUAAACAUUCUUUGCAGUCUGUGAUCAAAUCUUUUUUCCUGGUCACCGUCCCUCUCUUGGAUGUGUGCUUCUCUUGCAAUCUCUUGAAAGUUCUAUUCCUUUAUGGAAUUCUUAAUACUCUCUUCUUUAGGUGUUCCAUUUUCUGGUUUCUGUGUGAAAAUACUGCUUUCUUGGGCUUAAUUUUCCUUUUUGGUCAAUUGAAGGGAGGAGAUAGAUUCAUUCCGGACCGGUCUGCCAUGGAUUUUGACCUGGCCUACUACCUGCUAACAGAGAGAAGGACAGAGAAGGAGAACGCUGCAGCUGCAUCCCCAUCCAAAGGGACAUACAGAAGGCUUCUUUACGAGAAUCUUCUGAAUAAUAGAACUCGAAUUCUUGCUUUCAAGAGUAAGCCCCAGGCACCUGCGGAAGGUAUCCUCCAAGAAGCCCACUCCAAUGCCUCUUCCCAUCUGGCCAGGUUGGCAAAGCCACGGAGAUACAUUCCCCAGGUGAGUUUUCUUCUUCUUCAGCAACGUCUUGUUGUCUAUAUUUCGUUCUUCUUGGCCAAAUGCUGUUGUUUCUGUUCUCAACUUUCUUGGGUUUUUUUAUUAUUGGCAGUCUCCUGAGAGGACUCUUGAUGCACCAGACCUUGUUGAUGACUACUAUCUGAAUCUGCUGGAUUGGGGAAGCAGCAAUGUUCUGUCGAUCGCCCUUGGGAAUGCGGUGUAUCUCUGGGAUGCUUCAGAUGGUUCUACAUCCGAGCUUGUCACCGUGGACGAAGAUGUGGGUCCAGUCACUAGUGUCAGUUGGGCUCCUGAUGGGCGGCAUAUUGCUGUUGGUUUGAACUCCUCUGACAUCCAAUUGUGGGACUCGAGCUCCAGCAACCUGGUUAGUGUCAUUUCUCUGCCCCCUUAUUUUUGUUUGCCUAUUCUUUGGGUUCAUGUGAAAUUUGAAUUUGUGGGAUUUGGGUUGAUUGAUGAAUCCAGGCAAAGAUAUAAUUUUUAUUUGGCCUGCAUUUGCAUUACUUCUGAAAAUAUUCUUAUCUGUUCUUGUUGACCUGGGCUGAUGAAUACAAUCGAAAAAGUUCUAUGGUGCGGUUGCUCAGAAACUACUAAAAUUAUUAUAUAUCAAAUAUGAAGCUUUUAUUCACUUGCUGAAAGAACUUCUCCGGAUUCUUUUUCUUUUGCAGAUUGUGAAUCUUGAAGCACUUGUGGUUCUAAAUAGUGUACUAUGCAGUAGUUCUUGAUUCCUUGUUGUAUCCAACCUGAUGGUUCUUGUGGUUUCUAAAUACUUGUUUCUUCUAAAUUUGCAGUUGAGAACUUUGAGAGGAGUCCAUGGAUCUCGAGUUGGAUCUCUUGCUUGGAACAACAACAUACUCACAACAGGGGGGAUGGAUGGAAAGAUCGUUAAUAAUGAUGUGAGAGUAAGGUCGCACAUUGUGCAAACCUACCGAGGACAUCAGCGAGAGGUCUGCGGGUUGAAGUGGUCAGGCUCAGGACAGCAGCUGGCAAGCGGAGGCAACGACAACCUGCUUCACAUAUGGGACCUAUCCAUGGCCUCUUCAAAUCCAUCUCCAGGCCAAAAUCAGUGGCUCCACAGGUUGGAGGACCACAUGGCUGCGGUUAAGGCCCUUGCUUGGUGUCCCUUCCAGAGCAACUUGCUCGCAUCCGGUGGUGGCGGCGGCGAUGGGUGCAUCAAGUUUUGGAACACCCGUACCGGGGUCCGGUUGAAUUCAGUGGACACUGGCUCUCAAGUGUGCUCCCUGUUGUGGAAUAAGAACGAGCGCGAACUGUUGAGCUCUCAUGGCUCUACUCACAACCAACUGAUUCUCUGGAAGUACCCUUCGAUGGUGAGGAUUGCGGAGCUCACAGGCCAUACUUCUCAGGUUCUCUUCAUGGCUCAGGUAUGUUUGAUAUUUUCUUCAGACUUAACAUGGUCAUAGAUUUCUGAUGACUUUAUUUAUAUGUUAUAAAUUUGAUUGUUGAUGGGGUCUAUUUCUAUUGGAAUUUGCAGAGUCCAGAUGGGCGCAUAGUGGCAUCUGUGGCGGGGGAUGAAAUGCUGAGAUUUUGGAAUGUAUUUGGAACUCUUGAAGCACCAAAGCCUGCUGCCAAGACAGCUAGUACAGGACCCUUCUCCAGUUUUAAUCACAUUAGGUGAAAAAGGAGGUGGAGGAAGGGGAUGGGUCUCCAUCUGAUCCUUGAAUGCAUGGCGUGAUGGAAAGAAUUGGGAUGGAAGACGUAGCCUGCUGCAAGGUAGUUGAAGUUUUGAAACAUUUUGAAAUUUAAUGUCAUCAAAUUUUUGCCGUAGUUUAUAUGUAUUAAUCUUUGGUUUUCUCAUGUAUUUUGUUGCAGAUCAUAUUACUGGCAGACCAACUUCUCUUGAAAGGUGAAUUAUUUCAAAACCUCAUAAUUUACUCAAGCAAUUUUGAUUUUAAAUUAAGAUACAACAGAUAAACCUGAUCUCAUCAAGGCUUGAAAUUUAUUCCAAAUUGGUGAUAUCAAAUUUGUAUAAAUCUUGUGCUGCAUGAAUUUAGUGUUAGUGCUGCAUGAAUUUAGAUAAAACUUAGAUUGAAUUUAGUGUUAGUGAAUAUAAAAUACACUUUAUACCCCCUUUAUAAAAAGCAAAGAAGAAAAAGAACAUCCUUUCUUUUGUUCUUUGGUUUUGGCCACUAAAUCAUCUAAUUAUAGUAAUUUAAGAAAGGAUAGACAAAUAGUAAUCAUCAAAUUUACACAGAAUUUUGAUUUUUUUUUAAACGAUCAAUAAUUGUGGUUAAGUUUUGUGGCUAAAGUUUAAACCCAUGGGAGCGGCCUCUGGGUGCAAUCCCUUUUUCUCAACCCAUAAAAAAAUUUAGAAAAGAAAAGAAAAUAAAAUAAAAUUUUAGUGCUACUUUUUGUAAAUAUUUUGCUUUAUUUUUUUCCUUUUUUUCUCUUUUUUGGGUUUAACUGCCUUUUCACAUUUUUGUGUACUCAAUUUGGUAAGAAAGACUAAGAGGGGACUAGGCACGAUUAAAUUUCCUAAGAAGGCCGCUUUAGCGGCCGACUCCCUGUUUCGUUCGAAAUAGAAGUCGGGCGCUUAAAACAUUUACAACUUCAUAAGUGAAGUCGGCAUAUCGAUUGCCGACUUCACUUACGAAUCAACAGAUUUUUUAAGUGGCCGACCCUUGUAUCGAACGCUAAAGCAGCAUAUCCCUCCCUCCCUCCACUCUCUCUCUCUUUUCCUCUCUCGUUCUGCCUCUCUCAGAGGUCGGCCGCUUAAGCGGCCCUUCUUCCCCGGCGUCGGCCCCCUCACGGCCUCUGCUGGGCUUCGCUGGCCCUCCACUGACAUCCUCUCCCUCUCCCUCUCCCUCCAUCUCCCCACUCGCUCUCCCUGCCUUCUCCUUCUCCGGCUUCGAGAAUGCAUCCCAUUUUUUGAGCCGGAACUAUAUCGGUGAGCCAUCGGUACGGUUUGAAGCUGGCGGAACCGGCCGAUUCGGGUUGGUUGCGCCGACGGUUUAAAAGGACCACUAUGAAGCUAGAUGGUAAAAAAAUAAUAAUAAAAAAUAAACCAUUUAUAUAAAAGUACUAGAUAUAUUACUAAACUAUGAAAAUGAAAUGAGAUACCUAGUUGAAUUUAUUUAGUGACUAGUUGCAACUUUGCUGUCAACUGUAGGCAUAGAAACAAUGGAAGCCAAAUAUCAUUUGGCAUAAAGAGACCAGCAUAAUAAUGACACCAGCCUGGCACUCACAUGGUUUGCUUUAUGCUGUGCCUUUCUAUUCUCUUGCUUGGUAGACACUGGCAUAGUAGCAUGCCGAGUGCAAACACACAGCCAGUAUCAUGUCAGUGCUAGAUGCCCAUAAGGCACUGGCAUAUACAUAGCGAUCCUGUAUGGAUCAGCACUUAAAUCCAAGAGUAGCAAGGGUUUUAAGUUUUAACUAUGAUAAUUGAAAAUAAAAUGAUAAAUGAGAUAAGCUCCAUAUGAGGCCACAAAGAGAAUUCAAGUGAAUGAGGCCAAAAGGAAAAUUUUCCUUCAGCGAUGAAGGGUUACACUAAUAGUGCUUAUUGUGAGAACAAACAUGAAGAUUGGAUGGUGGAAAAAGGUUCACUUUUCUGUAAUCUUUGCAUACCCUGGUGCAUCUUCAUGGAACAUGUUCUAGGAAGCACAAUGCCUUGAAAAGAAGCUACAUGUAGCAUUACAAACUACAAACACAAUUUAAUUUUUAGAUUAAGUUAGCUAAUAUAAAUGAUGUAUCAUUUUGAUUAUUUAAGGUAGAAUGUAUUAAGCAUUGCACAUGCAAAUUAAAAAGAAAGGAAAAAGAAAAAUGCCAGAUAACCAUUGAAGCACCUAGGCAGAUUAAAUGGCUAUUUAAGUGUUUGAGCAAAGUUCAAUAGCAACCAAACUAAAAGACAUAUGACAUUUAUGUAGGAAAGGCUUAAGUGGUUUAGCACCAUGUAGCCAUUUGAGCGGCCAACUAAGCACUUAAUAAUUGUUUUUGAUAAACAUUUGAAUGACUGUCAAUCCUAAAAGCAUUAUUCUCUUUUAUCUAUUUGUUCAUAAGUGUAACAUGUGAAUACAAAGUCACAAUGUGGUAUGGCAUCUAUUCUUUCUUGCAAGGACAAUAAGUCAAACAUGAUCCAUAGUCAAGUAAGAUAGCACAAGAAUGGUUUAUUAUGAAGAGUAAAACAAUUCCUGUCUUAAAUUCAAUAUCUAACAUUGCACUUAAGUCAGCCAAGUCUAAUGCUGGUUGCCUUCCUUGUGAGAGGUUCAGAUUAUAAAAGCAUGGUCAAAAGUGAAUAAUAUCCAGGCAAUUUUACUACUCUAAUGCAAGGUCUUGAUGGCUGAAAUAUUAAGUCUCAAUUGCUUUUUAUUGUCCUUACACUAUCAAGCCUAGGGUGACUAUCCAGACACAUCCUCCGAAUGCUAGUCAUCCACAAUAAAAAAACUAGCUAGGGACCUGUCAAAAGAAUGCACUAGAAAAUUUUCCGUUUCUUUUGAUAAAUUCGCAUUCAUGCUUUACAAUAGAUAUCUUUUCCUAUAAAUGUUCCCUUUCAUCGAGUAAAAUGGAAGUGUUAAUCCACCGAUUUUUUUUAUAAAAUUUUACUUUUCCAAUUUGUUCAGUUAGGAAAAAAAUAGCAAUUUUAACAGUAUGAAACAAAUUUCUAAUAGUUUACAAACAUUCUAUGACAAAUUAGUAAAGAGAAGAACUAAAGAAGAGAAGAUUGUCACAAAUCAUAACAAAGGGUAACAUACAAAAGAUCGAUAACAUAAUACGACAACAGCUGUAUUCUAACUCAUAAUAACUACAAAUUAUGGUACACAUGUAGGACUGUCUGCAAAACAUAAAUUCAAAUCCUAUCAUUUAAUACCAUUACAGUACAAAUUUCCAAAGGAUGCACUAAAAAAGCAUGCUCGAAGCCAUAACUGCAUACUGUAGCCUAUGGCUCUCAGUAGUUCCAUGUCAUUCUUUACAUACAAAAUGUUGCUAGGCGCAAUUCAGUCAGAAACUUGGCAGUGAAUAUUGAAGAAUUUCAUUAACUUUGGAUGUGGGAUCAACAUCAGCUAAGAAACAGAGAAAAGGUGAAGCUGUAAAAUUCUUAAUUAUAUAUACAAUGUGCCUUUUCAUUGUUUUAUGAUUUAAUUAGAAAAUAGAAACACCUUAAUACAACAUCAAAUGUUGAGGAAUUGCCAAAACAUUACUACUUCAAGUCUAGCGGGUUACUUCGCUAGCAUUUUAAUUUAUAUUAUUUGUCAUUGCAUUUAAUGUCCAGUUUAUUACGUAUGGAAAUAAGUACAAUUACCACAUUGGCCGAUAUUAUGAUUGCAGUGUAUAUUACUAUGUUCUGAGCUUUACCUGGACAGUAAAGAAUACAAAUUUCCACAAAAAUGAGGGUUACCCAAGCUCCUGUCUUUUCUUUUGAAAGAGCAGAAAGUGGUCUCGGAAACUGCUUCCUAAUAAAGGUGGUGGAAAUGAGGAGGCACUGAUAAAAACAAAAAAACAAUCAGAUAGCAAUUAUCCAACUGUAUCAGAAUUGUGCAAUAAUAGCAUGAGCUAAAGAAAAACUAAUAAACAAUAAUAUAGUAUAUUAUAAUACUUAAGCUGAGUUUUGUACCACAACCUCAACGUUUGAUUAUCCAGGUCAAUCUAGAAAAGCCCAAACCCAAACCCAAUGGAGGAGAUGCUUAAAUAAGUGCGAUGUAUAAAAUGAAUUGAUUGUCCAAAUAUAGUAGCAGCUGCUAAAAUAAACAGAAGUCAUAUACAUGAUGUUUGCUGAUGUUGUUUGCAUUGCUGUAUUAUGUAUGUAGGCAUAUUAGUUACUCAAGAAUUCAUGAAGCAUAAAAACAUGUCCUAUGAGUGGUCGGGGCUCUCGUUAUUAUACAUAGUGCAGAAUAAUCAAGUUUUUUGUGUGUAUAUCUUCCUAAAUAUACGAAAUUGAUGAAUACUCUUACAAAAAAAUUAUUUGCACGUAUAAUCUCAUAAAAUGCUUGUUUUGCAAGUAUAACCUUCUUUUUCUUUUGUUUCUUUGCAUAACUACCCAUGCCAUCUAACAUUGUUAAAAAAUGAAUAGUUAAAAAAUGAAAGACUGAAAUACCCUUAAUAGGUAAAUGUGCAAAAAGAAAAAUUUAUAAGGGUAUCCAUGCAAAUAGCAACUUCGUGAGGGUAAUCAAACAAUUUUGCAUAUUUAGACAGAUAUACACAAUUCUAUGAUUUUUGUCCCAUGGGGGAAGGACAAUUCCUCCAAUCCAUUGAACACUGAGAUUGACUACUGCAAGGACCAACAAGAGGCCCCAUAAACAUCAAAGAACCCUAUAUUAAUUCGCAAGACACCGAACACUACUUACUAACACCACAAACCCCUUUUCCUCUCACGGUUACUUCCAUGUGUGCUCUUGUGUUCCAAACAACCGUACGCACCUGUCAGCCCCAAUAAUUCCUCAUUCUACCUAUUCUUCAUAAUUCUACUGAAGAAUGAGGGUUAACUUAUUGAAGCUUUGGCUUGAAAAAGUACAUAUUUGGAUGGAUAGGAGAUGCUUAGCUAAUAGAUGCUAAGACAUCCUAAUUAUCUUAUUAUAUUAGAGAGUGUAUGAAGAAAACCAUAUGGCCAAGUAUAAGAAGACACACAAGCACUAAAUCCCAGCAAUGAGGUGUCAAGUAGAGAAAGAUUAAGUUGAAUGUUAUUAUGAAAUGUUUAUGAAGGCAAAGAAAGGUGUACUUGGUGCUUUUGCUUACCGGAAAAGUUAGUGUAUGGGUGUUCAUUUGCAUGUACACAUGAAUAAUUAGUAAUUGUGGGUCCUCAGGAGUUGUAAGGAAUGUGACCCAAUGCAUGGGAGGUAAAAUUCAAAGUCUAGCUCCAUGCUUUAGAGCAAUUUUCUAGUUUUGUGGGCCAAUUAGAGUCAAAUGACCAGUAAAAUUAUCAAAAAGGUCAUGAUGAUGUGCAGACUUGAAUAGAGGUCCUUGUCAAAUUAUUCAUGCUCCUGAAUGGUUUCAAUCAUGGAGUUAUGUAGCCCAUAUACCAGCAUGUUUCUAAAGAGUACUCCACGAUCCAGGAUCAAUCUUGGAACAACUUGGAGGGCAACUACAAAGACUUCAACAACACCAAGGUUCCCUCUGAAACCAUUAAUUAUAUAUAGUUUACGCGAAAAUAAUCACUCUUAUUCAUCCUGUCCAGCCUUAAUUUUGAUUAUCUAAAUAAAAACUAGCGGUAUUGUAAAAGUUGCUGGUGACUUUUACAGUAACAAAAAUUAAAGGACUACAAUAAUGUUAUUUGACUUGUUUCAUAGCGAUGUAUGCAAAAUAAAGAAAUAUUUUCUGAAUUGUUUCUCUAAGUAUAUAUUAUUUUGCUGGGCAAUCAAUAAUCAAGUUUUGUUCAUUAAAAUGAAAUAGCAGCUAAAUAAUUGCUGCUUUGUAUUUUUCUUACUGCAAAUAAAUAUUUAAUGAGAGUAUACAAACAAAUAGCAACUUUGCAAGCGUAUUUAUGCAAUUUUGCACAUUUAAGAGGGUAUACACUCAAAAAACUCUAGAAUUAUCCCUUCCUGUUCCAAAAUAUGCUCCUCAGGUUACAUGGUGCUAGGGAAACAAGCUCAAUUACCUCCACAUGUUAGCAUGAUAUUCUUGAAUACUCUUCAUAGAUCCACAAAUCUAAUACCAGUUGGAUUUUACCAUUAAUACCCUUCAAACAGGUUUUGCCAGCAGUUUCCACUGAACAAACACCACAAUCUUGCAAAUUCUCCUAGGUUAUUUUUGAGAACCUUGAUUAAAGCCAUCAAGAAGACCAUGGAGGUUAUUUCUUUGGGGAGACCCAUAUUCAAUCCUCACUUGAAUUCGGCAACUCAAAAGGCACCUAUUAAUGUUUGAUAUAGAUCUGAUCCAAAAGAUCAAACCUUACAAUAGGUAGGUAACUGAAAUAAAUUUCAGAUCUGAAAAUAAAGAUGAAAUCUAAAACAUUUUUAGAAUUUUAUUCAGGAAAUCUUCAUUGCAAAACAAAUCUUUGCUUGCAAAGGCAAUCAAUUUUUACAAUCUGGGACAAAUACUCAAGCCGAUAAAAAGAAGAUGAAAAAGAAAAUUAUCUAAAAUAAAUGACUACUUAAAAUUAAAACAUAAAAAAUUAUCUAAAAUAUUCAAUCCAAACUUAAUUUGAAAUAAAUUAUGUUAAACAAGGAAGGCCAAAGCGGACCGAUCUAUUCGGUUCGGCUCGUACCGAGCGGACCUGGUGAGAUACCAGGUCAGUUUGGCCAUCAGAGUCGGUUUCGGCCCCAAAUUGCCCGAAACCAGUUUCGAACUGACCAAACUGGCCGAAAAAGGUCUGGAACCAGCCCGAAAUCUGCCCGAAAUCGGCCGGUUCUGUUCGAACACGGUGCGAACCAGACGGUUCGCUAAUAAAAUGUUGUUGGAAAGGUUCGAGAAGGCUUUCCCACCAGAGCCGACGUACUCUUAAGAGCAGUCUCGAAGAAUGGGAAACGAUACACUCCAAGGCCCCAUUCCGGUAGGGACUCCGUCCAGACCCUCUCACCUGUUCACCCCAUGGAGCACCUGCCUCAGUGAGAUUCCGACAUUGAUAGGAGAGUCGAAGAAAUGGGCUGCGAGAUUCAGGUCCUCAAAGAGUAGUCUCGGAAGGCGAAUAAUGACCUCAACUUCUCCUCAGAGCUCCUUUCACAGAGGCAUAUCAUGAAGGAACCGAUCCCAAUUCAGUUCAAGAUGCCCCCCUAAGUGGAACUAUAUAACGGGACCACCAAUCCCCUCGAUCACUUGGAGUGUUACAAGGCUCAUAUAAUGCUGCAUGGAACCACCGAUGUCGUGCUUUGCAAGGCGUUCCCCGCGACCCACUUUGUCUCCAGUCGGAGACGGUGUCACAGAGGCGGCUUGGUUCUAGUUCUCCGGGCUUCGGCCCAAUUCCAUCUACACUAUCGAGCAGCUCGCCCGCCUCUUUUUGACCCACUUUGCCUCCAGCCGGAGACGGCGCACUGAUUCAGACACGCUGCUAUGCAUCAAGCAACAAGAGAAGGAGACUCUUAGGGUUUAUGUCAGCUGCUUCAUGCGGUGAUGCUAGAGAUCCGCAAUUUGGAUCAGUCAGUCGCGAUGUCAGCAAUGAAGUGUGUUGCCGCCAAGAUCUGACCCAAUCUAAUGGCUCUUUGAGAUUAGUGCUGGAUUGGUCGGCAAGGAGGAAAGUCGGAUCCAAGAAACAAAGGAUCUCAACAACUUCCCUCGAAAGAGUUGCUGGGCUCUCUAAUGACUCAUAAACUUACCAAGAGGCACAAUAGUGAAGAAGAGUUAAAGAAGAAGAGGACGAUUGCUUUGAAGUCAGUAAUUCAGGAAGAAGAGGAAAGUGAGGACUCAGAGGAUGCUGAGGGUGAUAAGGAGAUAGCCUUAAUCACCAAAAAGUUUAGAUGAUUCAUGAGGAGAAAAGGCAAGGGAUGAGAAAAAGGCCAAUGGCUAAUGGGGAGCUAAGCAAAGAGAGAGAAAAGUAGCAGCCACUAAUAUGCCACGAGUGUAAGAAAUCUGGCCAUUUCAUAGCAGAUUGCCCACUGUUCAAGAAAGCCCCUAAGAAGCCAAAGAAGAAGGCAAUGAUUGCAACUUGGAGCGACAAUGACGAGUCAAGUUCAAAGGAGGAAGAAUAAGAAACAACAAAUCUUUGCCUCAUGACUAAUGAGAAUGAGGUAAAUUCUGCACCUAAAAUGAUUUUACUUUUGGUAAACUUCAAGAAGCUUUCUAUGAGUUACUAGAUGAAUUAAAGAAGAUAGGACUGAAGAAUAAAGAUCAAAAAAUGAAAAAUCAAUUUUUGACAAAUAUGAAAAAGAUGAAAUUUCAAAAGGGAAGCUAUUAUUAAUAGGAGAAAAAUAGAACUUAAGAAAAGAAGUAGAUAGAUUGAAACCAAUUGUAGACAAAUUCACCUUAAGUUCUAAAAAUCUAAAAAUGAUCUUAGAUGGCCAACGUACUUUUUAUAUUAUGCAGGACUUCACUAUAAUCCUUUGCAAAAACAGAAGCUUUUAAAAAAAAAUGUUGUUAAAUCAUCAAGUAAUCACUCAAGUCCUACAGUAUGGUACAAUUGUGGAAAAAUAGGCACAAAUCCUUCAAUUGCAAUUCUAAGAUAAGUGGCAAAAUAAGUAAAAUAGCAAUUAAAAGUAUAUGGGUUCCUAAGGGGACGAUAAUUGCUCACCAUCAAGGACCCAAGAAAGCUCAGGUACGAAAAUCAAAAACUUGAUUUUCUGUGAUGUAGGUGUGUCUAUCAGCCCAUGGGUCAAAUACAAGAAAAAUAAGUAAAAGUAACAAUUAAAAGGAUAUGGGUUCCUAAAGGGACCAUAAUUGCUAACCAUCAAGGAUACAAGAAAUCUUGGGUACCUAAAUUAAAAACUUAAUUUUUUAUGAUGCAUGUGUGUCUAGCAGCCCGUGGGGCAAAUAGAAGAUGAUAUUUGGAUAGCGGGUGCUCAAAACACAUGAUGGGAGAUGAAUCACAGUUCAUUUUUCUUCAGACAAAGGAUGGAGGGGUGAUCACCUUUGGUGACUACAGAUCCCCUCCAAAUUAUAUAGUCAUUGUGGAAAAUCUAGGCCCCAUGUUCUUUUAAGGAAACAAGCAUGCUUAUUAAUUAAAAUGACAAACAAGAGCCAUGUAGGCUAUGCAAAUGUUUGGAAGGAAGCUAUCCCACUAUAGUUGGGUCAUAUAUUUGGCCCAUGAUAUCUCAUAUUAAUCUAUGGAAAUGUAGAUAUAAAUGACCUUAAUGGGCUAUUUCAACUAAUAGAUAAAAGAAAGAAAGAGUUUCUCAUUAGUGUCAGCAUUUACCUACCGUAUUCAAUUGGCAAGACAUUUAAAUGAUCAAUUGAUUGUUAAAAUUUUCAAUUUUCUUUUCAAUUUCGAGUUACUCAAAGUUGUUUAACACUAUAAACUAUGCAACCAUAAACCAAGCACAAGAUUUGGUUAUAACUAUUGACAUUCUAUUUGAAGAAGAAAAAAAGAUAAAUGAUCAUCAUGACCCUAGCAAUUAAUUUUAGUUAGUUAUAAAAAGUUGAUAGAAAUUAUUUGUAUAUGUUACACAGACCAAUCCAUUAGGAACAUGGUUUACAAACAACCUGAUCUAAUAGUGCACUUUGUAUUCAAUAAAAUUUCUAACAAUUUUAUACAAUAUUGACAAUUUAUAAGAGCUACACAAUAAUAUUGAAAAAUAAUUCAAGAAUGAAAAUAUUGGGGAAAAUUAGUAUCACUAUUAUUUGUUAGUAUUGUGAAAACGAACUAUUAAAUGACCCAUUUAUUUGGUUGUAUCAAAUGCAACCCUUUUUUUAAAUACUAAUAGAUAGUUAUAAAAAGUUUCUUUUGUAGUACUGCUUUGAAAAAUGGAUCUAUCAUACUUUAGAAUAUGUAACUUACAAUAUUCGAGUAUAGUGCUUCAUUGCGCCACAUUUGAAUCCUUGAAGACUAGUCCUUUUUAGGGUUAUAUGGUCCUUUUCACCUCAUGUCUCUCAAUCCAUGCAAAACUUUUUCAACCAUUGAUGCUGGAAGCUUUAAAACAUAAAAAUAAUUUGAUGAAAUCAAGUAGACAUGCAUUUUAUUUUAGAUAUAAAUAUAUCUGAGGAUAUGUGUCUAAUGUGGGUGUCAACUAGGUCGAUUGUUAAAGCCACUACAGAUGUACUAACAUCCUAGGUUCUAGUUCCACCUACACAUGGCUUGAUAAAGGUUAAACCUCUCCCCUUCAACAAAUAAGAAGUAUACACUUAAAUAAGUGAUUACCAUGACAACUUCCACAAACUUAAUAUUCUAGUGAGAGUUGCGACAGAACAGAACAAAUGAGCGAUUGCAAUAGAUACUGAUUCCCAAGCAGGAAGAUAGGAAGUAUUGAAAGACAGAUCGAUCUAUCUCUUUUAACGAAUUGCCUGAUUGCGAUAAAUAAAUAUAAAAUAGAGAAUAGAAGUUAUUUCUAUAUCUAUCGAUAACCCCCAUUUUUUUACUAUGAAUUCCCGUUUGUUGGAUGGAUCGAAUUAGUUAGAGUCGCAAACUCCUAAUAUGUUGCCUAGUAGAUACAACCCAAGAGGGGGGGUGAAUUGGGUCUUUUAAAACUUUUAUACUACUUCUAAGACUUUUUAAUUAAUUAUGCUAAGUUGUAUAGAUGCAAGGUGGAAUUUAAACUUAGCAACAGUAUGAUUUAUUGAAUGAGACUUGAUUAAGUAAAUUGAGUAUGCUUUCAACUAAGGGAUGCGUAGAUAAGAGUUAAGCAAGCAAUUUAACUAAGUAAGUGAGCAAGUUAGACAAUGACAAAAAGCAUCACAAACACAACAAACAUAUAGUGGUUCGGUGCACCCCAGCACCUACAUCCACUCCCCAAGACCUCUUGGGAUUUUCACUAUAAUCCUUCAGAUUACAGCGGGUUGUUUUACAAGCUCACAACCCAACUUGUUGUUUUGCGAGAUCACAACGAACUCGGUCGGUUUUCACAGGCUCACCGACUAUAACCAACCGAUUGUUUUUCCGGGUUCACAAUCAAACCCAGUUGGUUUUUCCAAAGGCUCACCAACCAAAACCUUACAACGAUUGUUUUCCGGGUUCACAAUCAACCCAGUUGGUUUUUCCAAAGGCUCACCAACCACAACCUUACAACGUUGGUUUUCCCUUUGGCUCACCAACAAACCUUAACCCCUUGAUUCAAUCCCUUGAUUGAAUCAAGUUACAAGAUCUUAGAACAAGAGUUUAAAUCAAAUACAAGCUUCUCACUUAAGCAAAUAUAGCAACUAUAAAUAAGUAAAGUAAAGAGAAGAAGCCCUCAAACUGAUUCGUAGAUGGAGGAACUCGGCUUCUUCUUCACUUGACCCUCUUCUGAAGUAGAGGAUCACACAAGGCAGCACACAGUUGAAGAGGAAGCUUUGGGAUUCACUUGGAUGCUCUUCUUCUCUCUAUUUUGCUUUGACUGGCCCUUUUGUGCUUUUGGGAGAAUUCUUAGUCCUUUAGUUUCAUUGUUCUCUAACGUUUUCUUUGGUGCAGGGUUUCUCUUUAUCUUAGUUUUAAUCUCUGUAAUUAUUUAUUUAUUUUGUGUUCUAGUCUUUGUUUUCUUGUAUUUUUGUUUUCUGCUAGCAAUGGAUGCCGGAAGUUUCUCUUCUUCCAUCCCUUCCGAGAAGGCCCGGCCUGCAUCUCGCCACCCUCUUCGAGAAGUCGGUUCAAGGCCUUACAUGCCUUCUCUCCGCUCCUCAUCGAAGGAUUUUUCUUCCCGGCAGAGCGGAGGAGAUAGAUUCAUUCCGGACCGGUCUGCCAUGGAUUUUGACAUGGCCUACUACCUGCUAACAGAGACAAGGAAAGAGAAGGAGAGCGCUGCAGCUGCAUCCCCAUCCAAAGAGGACAUACAGAAGGCUUCUUGCCGAGAAUCUUCUGAAUAAUAGAACUCGAAUUCUUGCUUUCAAGAGUAAGCCCCCGGCACCUGCAGAAGGUUUCCUCCAAGAAGCCCACUCCAAUGUCUCUUCCCAUCAGGCCAAGUCGGCAAAGCCACGGAGAUACAUUCCCCAGUCUGCUGAGAGGACUCUUGAUGCACCAGACCUUGUUGAUGACUACUAUCUGAAUCUGCUGGAUUGGGGAAGCAGCAAUGUUCUGUCGAUCGCCCUUGGGAACACGGUGUAUCUUUGGGAUGCUUCAGAUGGUUCUACAUCCGAGCUUGUCACCGUGGACGAAGAUGUCGGUCCUGUCACUAGUGUCAGUUGGGCUCCUGAUGGCCGGCAUAUUGCUGUUGGUUUGAACUCCUCUGAUAUCCAAUUGUGGGACUCGAGCUCCAGCAACCUGUUGAGAACUUUGAGAGGAGUCCAUGGAUCUCGAGUUGGAUCUCUUGCUUGGAACAACAACAUACUCACAACAGGGGGGAUGGAUGGAAAGAUCGUCAAUAAUGAUGUGAGAAUAAGGUCGCACAUUGUGCAGACCUACCGAGGACACCAGCAAGAGGUCUGCGGGUUGAAGUGGUCAGGCUCAGGACAGCAGCUGGCGAGCGGAGGCAACGACAACCUGCUUCACAUAUGGGACCUAUCCAUGGCCUCUUCAAAUCCAUCUCCAGGCCAAAAUCAGUGGCUCCACAGGUUGGAGGACCACAUGGCUGCGGUUAAGGCCCUUGCUUGGUGUCCCUUCCAGAGCAACUUGCCAAUUUGUUGUAAUGAGAUCAAAAUGUUGUGUUUCAAUUUGUUGUAAUGAGAUCAAAAUGUUGUGUUUUUUUCCUUGUAAUUUCUUCUAAAUCUCUUCCCUAAAUGUUCUCUCCCACUUCCAUACCUUCUCCCCUAGCUCUCCUCUUGAUUUUAUAGCUUUUGAUGGCGUGGAAACAAAAACUAGCCAUUAGAGACAAAAAUAGAGCCGUUAUGACCCGUCUGCACAUUCUGACAAUGUAUCCGUUGGGCUCGGAGUCGACUCGCGCAAUCUGGAGUCGACUCGGCUGUAGCAGGAGUCGACUCAUGCUUUUCUGGAGUCGGCUCGGCAACUGUUCUAGAUUUGAAUUAUAGUGGUUUUCUCGACUGGGAGUCGACUCGACUUAACCCGGAGUCGACUCGCCAAAAUCUGGAGCUGACCUUGCACUUUUGGAGUCGGCUCAUCCCAAGGAAUCCAUAGAUGUAUUCUUCAACUUGGCUCACUCGAGUCGACUCGUGAAUUCUGGGAGUCGACUCGGCGCUCAGAGGCCGAACUCCCGAUCUUCUGUCUUUUGGCUCGUGCAGUCUUGGAGUCGACUCGCCUCUCAGUGUCCGAAAUUUGCUCUCUGACUUUUGCCUUGUUUUUCUUAGGAGUUGACUUGCCAGCCAUCGGAGUCGACUCGAGUUCUUCAUGAGUCGACUCGGCUCUCAGGGUCCAAAAUAGCUUCUCUGUCUUUCUGUCUGUUACUCCCUGGAGUCGACUCGUUCUACUCUGGAGUCGACUCGGCAAGCAUCGGAGUCGACUCGAAUUCUUCAGGAGUCGACUCGAGGACUAUUCUUUUGAAUUUUCCUUUGAAUUUGCUCCUCCAACUUGAAUCCUUUGAACUUGAAACUUGGGCCAAUAAAUUGUAGCUUUCUUCCAACUUUUCUUGAGAGCUUUGGAGGCCUUCUUGUGUUCUUCCAACUUGCUAUGUUCUUUGCAAAAUAAAUAUUUUUCUCCUUGCAACACAAACAUUAGUAUUUAUACUUCAAGAUUUUGUGAUCAUCAAAAUCAAUCUUUAAAUCAAUCUUUGGGUCAUCAUAAUAAAAUCUUUUAUUUUCAUAAUAAACUCCUUAUUAGAUUAGAAAGAUAGAAAGAAAUAAGGAUGGAAAUGUCCGCUACACUUGAAUCGGUUAGCAAGUGGAUUGCACUUUUGCCUAUUUGAGAGGUGGGAAGGAAAGAGUUUUGGCAGCAAAUAGAGAGCAAGGUGCACAGAAGUCAGCGAAGGAGUGGUUGGUCACUUGGUCAGUGGUAGCGUGGAGACCAACUAAGCGGCCUUAAUAAGCAGUGGGAUCCUGCGCAACUACGAAGAGUUCUGAUUUUUGUAUCAAACUUUUAUAUUGAUUGAUAAUAUCAUGUGCAGAUAAUAUGUGAUGUAGGGAAUUUCAUGCAAAGGUUGAUAGUAGCAUUUUUCUUGACAAAUUGAGUUAAGCAAUUACCUGUAUUAGAAAGCUUGAUGGUACAACUGAAUAUGAAAUGCAUUUUAUUUUUCAUAAAUUCAUUUUUAGAAAGAUUGAGAUGGUUCUCUAUUUGGAGGGUAUUUUUUUUCCUUUAGGAUGAAAAAUUAAGUUGUGUUAUAAAAACUUUGAUGCCUUACUUUAUUAGAACUUAAUCCAAAUAAAAUCAUGAAGCUCUCACCUUCAACAAAUAUCUUUUUGGGCUUUCUAUAAGUUAUCCUAUUGAAUAAAUAAGAAAGAAUAAUUAAAGGAAAGGAAUAAAAACAUUGAACUAAUGAAUGUAAAUAGUAAUGCCUUCCAUCUUUGACCUUAAGAAAUAUUGCAAAAUUUUAAAAAUUGAGGCUAGUGAUCAUGAUCGAUUGUCGAGGCCAUGAUACUAGAUGAAAGCAUUGGAUUUGGAUCCUAUUUUUUUCAUUAAUUAAUGACGGAAAGGAAACACCAUAUUGUUUUGUUGGUAUUUCAUCUAAAGAAAAUAGAGGAAAUCAUUGAAUUUAGUUUUAUAAGCAACAUCACAAUUAGCCAAAGUUGGAUACAUAUGAUGAUCAUCUACUAUGUGCUUCGUUCUUUUGAACUAAUCACAUGCAUCGCUCUUCAAUUUAAUUCUACUUAUUCAUUGAGCUUCCUUGUGAAAUAUCUUCCCCCCUUCUUCUUGGUGAAGCAGAAAGUAGAUUGACUGGUUAGCAUGAGUAUGUAAACAACUUAUGGCACGAACAAAAAAAUAAAGAGCUAAUUACAGUUCAGCCACUUAAGGUUAGGCCUGAUUUCACUAAGCCCACCUAUGGUUUAACCCACCUAAAGUCAAUUCUGUCAGACUCUUUCGUGCUUCCUUACCCACCUUUGAAGUGAAAUAGCAUUGAGGGUUUCUUUUUCAUAUGAUUUUGCGCAAUUUUGAAACCUUGUUCUUCUCCAAAUCUCAAAAUGGAAGGUGUGUUUCUCCAAAUCAAAAAAAUUUCCACCAAAUUGAAGCCUCCAUUCUCCUAAUCGAAGUGGAAAAACGAGCAUGAAAUCAACAAAGAGGUACGUUGCAAUUUUUUUGAUUUUAGAUUUAAUGAGAUGAAUCUUUUUGUUUUUAGAAAAGAGUUGUUUGGGGAUUAUGUUGCUUGUUUUCAAAAUAUCAAACUUGGGAUUAGAAAUUAGUCUAUGGAUAUUACUAUUUUAUGAGUUUAUGAUUUUUUUCUUUCCGAGAGUGACGGCUUGAAAUUUUUUUUUGCAGUGGUUGGUCCCAUUUAACAGUGGUUGGAUUAGUUCAAACGAUUAUACAGUGUUACCUUUGCAUGUGAAAUUGUUUAUUACAGUGGUCGUUCCCAUUUAGUAGUGGUUGGAUUAGUCUAAAUGAUUAUGCAGUAGCUCCUGUGUAUGUGAAAUUGUUUAUUACAAUGUUCAAUCCUGUUUAGUAGAAGUUGGACUAGCUUAAAUGAUUAAGAAGUCAAUACAAGACUUUACCAUUUUAGUGGCAACUUUUUUAUGGCAACUAUCUAGAGUUGUCACUAAUACUGUGCUUUUUGUAACAAGUGUUCAAAGUUGUCACUAAUGUUAACCUUUUAGUAGCGGUGAUUCUUCUCGCCACAAAAUAUAUAAUAUUACUGGUGACGGCAUAAAUAGCUAAAAAAAAGCCGCGACUAAUGUCUCAUUAUUGUUGGCGGGUAAAAGGAUUUUGACACCAAAAUUACUUUUAGUGGCGAAUAUGAGACAUCGCCACUAAUAAUAAUAUUUUUAGUGGCAGCUUGAUUCAUUGUCGCUAAUAUUUAUCGUAAUAGUGAUGGCAAUGGAUACAUCACCACUAAUACCAUACUUAAGGUGACGAUGAUAGCAUCGUCACUAAUAUUGUAGUUAUUGGUGAUAGCAAAAUUCUACCACCACAAAUACCAUUAGCAUUUAUGGCGAUAUAUGUGCAUCAUCAUAACUAAUUCCAAGGACACUAGAGGCGGAUUCAUUUGUCGCCACUAAUAUAAUGCUCAAAAGAAUUUUUUUCUCGUUUCUUAAAUGUAGAUUGAAUUAAUACGAAAGCGUUAGUAUUAAUGAUUAUUUUUUAGGUUUUACGCAAUUGCUUUUUGAUUAUAACAACUUGUAAGAAAGAAAAUUUUAUUUUCACACCGGUAAUUACUAUUUUGAAUUGACAUAAAAAUAUUUCAAAUUAUACGUAUCUUUUAAAAUUUUACAUAGUUUCCUUCUUUUUAUGAUAGAUUAUAUUUUGUUUUGUACUGACCGAUGUAAACUUUUUCAGUUGGUAUAUCUAGUAUGAUUAUUAAUGAUGCGCAGAGGGUGUAGCUAGUAAGUACUAGGACCAACUAGACCAUAUCAAGCAUCGUAGGAACUAGUAGAUUCGGAAUUGAAAACUAAGAGACUAUACUAAAAGUAUCAGAAAAACAAAUGUUGGCAAUCAUGUGAUUUUACAGUAUAAAGUUUCUGAUGAGGAUCAACAACUUAUUUUCAAGAGGAUAUACAACAGAUACCAUGCCAGAAGGUGGGAUUCUUGGGUGGAUAAAGACCUAUCAUAAGUCUUGAUGGAUAUUUCCUUUAAGGAAAGAUUUGGAUGACGGCUACUUUUAGCUAUCUGUAGAGAUGGAAAGGAUCAAAGGAUAAUGUCUUUUCUGGUGCAACAGCUGUUGUGGAGCAAGAAAACAAAGACUCUUGGAGUUGUUUCUUCAUAUCUUCGAUGAAGAUAUAGGCAGGCCUGAUGAGAUUGGGAUAGUAUUCAUAUCAGAUAGAUAGAAAGUAUAUGUUUCUAUUAGUUGCAUCAUAUUUUUGCUAUUCCUUAGUUUUGUUCUGUUUUACCUGCAUACAAUAUUAAUUACAUGUCAGUGUCUAGUCCCUGCAAUUGAGUAGCUUUUUCCUAGGGUGAAGUAGGAGUACUACUAAGACACAUGUAUAGUAAUUUCAGGGAAUUUUUCAAAGAGGAGUUGAAAGAUGCAAUGUAGAAAGCAGCCUGUGCAACCAUUACCUUAGAGCAUAGUAUGCGGUACCCACCCAACCAGGUGGUACAGAGCAUAUCGGUCCGGUACCGGUAUCCGGUACAGAUGGCUAUCGAUAUUCCGUAUGUCAAAAAAACUUUGUACCAUAACCUACCGAUAUUGUGCUAGUAUGACACUGGUACGAAGUCCGAUACUGAGACGACGAACCUUACCUGAGAGUUUGAAAGGAGGAUGGCAUACAUCAGAACUAUUGAUGACCCAAGGCCUACUUCAGCAGUAGGGCCAAGAGUGGCUUAAGAAGAUCCCUCCACCCCAACGGUCCAAGGUCUACUUCAGCAGUAGGGCCAAGAGUGACUGCUUCCUCAAUAACUUGAAUGAGUAAUUCAAUGCCAUGAUUUAAUAUCCUGAAUAAGCCUGCCUAUAUUGUCUACAUUGGAGUGGAUUAGAGUUGGGUUGAUGAAAAGAUUUAAUAUCAAAAGACUUGGUAUGGAGAGGUACGUUGGACCAAUCUGUCCUAAUAUGCAGGACAAACUUGAGGUCCUAAAAUUGAAGUCUAGGAAUUAUUAUGCUACACUUGUAGGAAGGUUGAAUUAUGAUGUGGAUAAUGGAUAUGAAAAAUAUGUAGUUGACUUGACUACAAGGUCUUGCACAUGUAGGAUUUGGGAUCUCAAUAGGAUCCCUUGCAAACAUGAUGUGGCAGCCAUUAUCAAGGAUCUGCAACAGCCAGAGAGCUAUAUCCACUCUUGUUACACCAAGGAGGUUUACUUAACCACAUAUCAGGAGAUAAUUCAUCCAAUGCCAAGCCAAAAUAAGUGGAUUGAAACUGGCUUGCCUGCUCCUAUCCCUUCACAUGUACAUAGGCCUCUUGGCAGACCAAAAAAUUUAAGAAGAGAAAUAGAAGAAUAAGACUGUAAGAUAUGGAAAAUGGCAUAAAGAAGAGUACAAUUCAAGAGGGUGUAAAGCUAGAGUGAUUGGGGAAACUAUUUGGCAAAGGAGGAUGAGGAUUCAAAAGGAGAAAGUAGUCAGAUUACAUCCUGCUGAACUGCCAUUUUACAUUAAGACUGAUUAUAAUAGUUGUUUAUUCUAUCCCAAUUGCAAGUUAUAAUAGAGCAAAAUUAGUGGCCCUUACCAUAACAAAGGCAAAGCCACGACAUCUUUCAAGGUCUAAUCAUUGUUAGCUAACAGCAGUACAAAAAAUCUAUUGAUAUAAAGCCUUGAGCUAGGAAAAGGCCCUAACCAAGAAUCUGAUUAAUGUUGCAGCCUCCAAGAAUAUAUGGAACAACAGCUUGGCUUAGAUCACAUAUGUCACAAGGAUCUCAAGUGGAUUUUAAAUCCUAUUUCACUUGUAUUGGUGUUUAAGUUGUAUUAAUGUUUAGCUUGUAUGACUACAAUGCAGGCUGCUGCAAGUGUGGGUAGAGGAACAGCUGCUGCAGUUGUUGGAGGUGAUGCUAGUGGUAGAGGAAGAGGCUCUGGUAGAGGUUUUGGUUCAAGCACAGGUGGUCCAGUCAAGGGUGCAUCAGGGAGAGGACUUUCAUGAAGAGGUUCUUCAAGCAGAGGAGCAUGCUUAUUUUUAGGCAUAAGAGCUUCUGCCGGGGGUCCUUUAGGAUGUGCUUUAGGGAGUGAAUGUUCAGGAACAAGUUCAGGAAGAGGCUUAAGCACACUACUUCAGGCAGUGGAGCAGGCAGACAACCAAAGUUUGUACCAAUUGGUGGGAAAGGGAAGAAAACAUAGUGAUUAUAGAUUGCAAUGCAAUGUUUGGAACUUGUAAAUGAUUUUGUAUAGAAUGUAAUGUUGUAUGCAAUUUUGUUUUGGUUUUGGAAAGUGAUGUUGAACUUAGUUGUAUGGAAUGUAAUUGCAUAUUGUAAUACAAUGAUAUCUGUCACGCCCCGAGCCCGAGGCGCGGCAGACGCCGCACGCUUGCACGGCAGGCCGCACAGGCGUGCAAGGCAGCAGAUCACAUCAAGGCAAAUACGGAUGCUUAAAAAUGACAUAAAUUUUAACUUGUUCAAAAGCAGUCUUACAAAAUUUCAAAAUAGCAUAUGCCAGCAUAAUUCAAAUGUCCAAGCUAAUCUAACUAAAGGACCGAUAACUGAAGGAAUCGUCGGAAAAUCUAACGCACUCCCCAAUCCCGUGCGAUCAAGCCUUUGGAUCUGAAAAAUAGAGAAAACAGAAUAAUGAGCUACACUAGCCCAGUAAGCAACAAAAUACCCCAGAGUGGGGUCAAAGCAUAUCAGAUCAAAAUACAAAAUAAUGACUGGCAAUAAAUCACAAGUAACAUCAUUUUUCUCUUUUCAAAACUUAUCACUUUUACAAAAAUUCUGAUAUCAUAAUUUCAACAUAAUAGGCUACAGCCACGUAACCCAGUGGCAUGGGUUACACAAAGUGCCAAAUCUACUAUUUUUAUCCACCUAUGGCAGCCGGUGUUGCACAAAAGUACCAAAUCUACUAUAUUUACCCAUCGAUGGCAGCCGGUGUCCAAAUCCACUAUUCUAAUCAGCGUUGGCGCGGUGUCGAAACCGGUUCCUCACAGAUUACAAGUCGACAGGUCCAACGUAUGAUCCCCAUUGGCGGGGCCAGAACAGAACAGAUCAUAGCCAUGCUGAGAAUGCAUAUACAUAAAAAAUAGAUUUCAUAAAUUAUCCAACCAUAUUUUACAGAAUUCAGAGCAUAUAACAUAAUUUUCAAAUAAAAUUUAACAUGCCUGACCCUUUUACUGAAUACAAAAUAUAUGUCAAAAUUUAAUGAAUUUAUCAAAUAAUUUGAAAAAUUACACUUGAAUUAUUAAGUUACUUACCUCUUUUUGCUUUAAAUCCCACUUCAGGCAAACAUGUCAGAUACACCUGUUUAAUUAAUUUCUUUGUUAAUUUCAGAGCUAAGUAUAACCAAAAUCAAUAUUAUUGGACACGGCCCAACAGGGUCCAGAGUUGGCCCAUGAUGGGCAUGGCCGGAUAGGGCCCACAUCGGAUACGACCCAAUGGGCCCGCAUAGACCCGGCCCAAUAGGGCCCCCAAAGUUGGCCUCUAGAUGGAUUAUUCAUGCAAGAAAAUUCAUUGCAGGGACUAAUACUUAAUUACGGGGUACUGUUCUAUAAUAAAACUUGAGUGACGGGACUAAUUAAUAUAUUUGAGGACCUUUACAUAAUAAAUAUUUCUUAUAGGGAUCAAACAUAAAUUACAGAAGGCUCUUUUGUGCAAUAAUAUACUAUCAAGGGUUUAACUGUAAAAUUUCAUUUAUUGGCCAAACGGGUUCGGAUAUCGGAUCUGAACUGGGUUUCGGAUUUUGGGUCUGAACUGGAUUUUGGGUUUUCUUCUUUUUUUUGUUUCGGGUUUCGGGUUCGAAUCGGGCCCAAGUUGGGCCCGCAGUUAAUAGGGCCCAUGAACAUGACCCUUCUUCUUCCCCAAACCCCCCACGGACAGGGGAGGAAGAAGAAGAGAAAGAAAGGACCGGGGGGGGGGGGGUCUAGGCGGCCAGCCUAGGUGGCGGAGGCCGUUGUCUGGUCGACGGCCAGCUGGCGGCCGUUGCGGUGGCCGGGGUCGAGAAUCAACCGAGAACGGUCUCGAUUCAUGGGGCCAAAACAAAGGGAGGAAAGCAUGCCUGAUUCGACUAGAUCAAAGAGAAACAAGGGAAGAGGGCUUAUCGGUAGUGGCAGAGGCGGCGGAAGGGAGAUCUCGACCAGGGAGGGCUCGGUCCGGCAGCUAGCAACGGCGGCGGCGCUCAAAACUAAGGGGAUGGGUCACAGAACAGGGGAAGGCCACGAAGGGGAUUCGGACGGCGCUUGGCCAGGAGAGCACGCCGAUCACCAGGCAAAGGAGGAGGAAGGAAGGAAGGAAGAGGAGAAGACAGAGGAGAGGGAGGAGGGCUUGAAGGUGGUUUUAGGAGGAAGAGGAAGGGGGUUUUUAUCACCCCCUUGUAACGGCUCUCCGCCGCGUGGCCGCGGAUUGGCUGGAGGGGGGUGCCGCGGGAUGCCCGCGGCGCCUUCGCCCCGGUGGCACCCGAAGGAGUCGGAGAGGAUCGCAAUCACGAUCCUCUGUUCCGGUUCUUCCUAAAAAAGGACGCGGCUGAAGUCGGCUGGGGCUGCCGACUUCAGCCCGUAUCUCACAUUCUCUCCUCCUUAGAAAAAUUUCGUCCUCGGAAUUUAAGAGAUCUAGGCCUUUCAAAUUUAAAGAUCCUCAACACAUUGAGUAAUAUAAAUUCAAGAUCGUAUUCUUCUCGAUCAAAACCAGUGCGAUAGAUGACUUUGGAUUAGUUGUCAAAAACCAGCAAGAUUAGCAAUAGAUAAGUAACUAACUAAAAUCUAAGAUUGAAGUCGUCAUCUUGAUGUAAGUUCACUCUAGAUCGGAUCAGGAUCGAUUCACAACAGGAUUGAAAUUAUCAUCUUUCAAAUAGAUCUUAUACACUUAUCAUGAUAGUGUGCUGAUCGCUCAAAGGAUAAUGAACAACCUUAGAGUCAAAUCAUUAUAUGGCUAGGAAUGUAAUUCACGAAAAUGAACAUGUACUGAUGAUCAUUAGAUAGCAACAGUGUAUCUCAAAAAUGAUUUGCAUCAAAUCACAAGAGCAAGUCUGAGAAAAUAAAGUAUUGAUACCAUGAUUCAAUAUGCCACAAAGCUUUUAACUUAAACUUAUAAAUCAUUAGAUUUGAGCAAAUAAUGCAUGGUUUAUUUAGAUACUUAACAAAUUAGACCAUAUUUGGUCAACAAUUAACUAACUCGAGUCAUGAUACACUCAAAUUAUUAUUAUUAUUGUUAUUUUCUUAGCAUAGCAAAAAUAGCAAAAACCAUCAGCGAGAUAACAUAGUUAUAUCAUGAUUAAUCUGAGAAUCAACAGUAUUCAUCUUCUCUUAUUAACAAAAGUCUUCAUUAUUGAAAAAUCUAGUCUUCCAUCACAGUCUAUAUUUUUGACCAAUUUAAAUUGACUUGGUCCACUAUACUUUCGCUGCACAACUUUGAUCAAUAUUCUCUAAAAUUUCUUAAUGAUCCCAGAUCAUCAACAUUUUUUUUUUUAUAAUAUCCAAGCAAAAUUUUUUCCUUGCUUCCCAAGUACACUAGGUCAUGAUUAAACCUUGAGAUAGUUGUCAUAUUUGUACCAUCAUAUAAUCAAGUAAUCAUAUUCUAGAUCCAAAUUUGAACUAAGCCAAUUCUAGUUUCCCUUGACAAUUCCAUUAUACAAGUUGAUAUUUAUUCUAAGCUUCAAUAAUUAAAAGAUUCUAUAUUAACUUACUUAGGAGCUUACUCAAUGAUUCCGAAUCCUUUCUUUUAGGCUGAACUUAUUUGGGCCUCUCAUGAAAUCCCACUUGCAUUUCUCAUAUGGUGCUACAAAAUCCAUAAUCAACUCAUGGCAUUGAUUUAUAAAUAUUUAACUCACAAGAAUCUAAUAAUCUGGUUCAAAGAUUUACAAGAAAUUCUACGAAGAUAUAAGCUCUAUGAUUUUACAUUGAGAUCAACUCCUCAAAUAAGUAAAAUAUUUUUAUUUGCAAUACUGCAAACAUUUCAGGAUCUUGUAAAUCUACUGGACUUAGAGAAUUUACUAAUAACACAAUGAUAUCCAUAUUGAUCAAAAUCAAAAAUACUAUAUUUUCCAAUGAUUUUUUUUUUUUGCAUAGUAGAUAGAAGUCCCUACACUAAUGACACCAUGAUAUCCAUAUCAGUCAAAAUCAAAAACACUAUUCUUUUCUUUGACAUUGAAAUUCUCCUUAAUAAGAAAAACCAUCAAAAACUAUUUCCAAAUCACAAAGUUAAUAUCGCUGACCAGCUUAAAAUAAUUUAAACAACCAAUAUUCUCAUAAUUUACUAAAUCACUUCCAAUUAAAAUACCACUCUGCAUUGUAAUUUGAAAAGAUCUAAAAUUUCAAAUUCUAGGUAAAGCCACAGGAAAAUUCUAGAAUUUCAUCCCAAAUAUGUUUUCUAUCUACACAAGAGUUUCAUCAUGAUCCACAUACAGAUUUCAAUCCUCGAAGAAUAUUUCAAUGAAUAUUACAAAAUAUUUUCUAGUCCAAACUUUAAACAACCUUUUAUAAAUGAACCUUAAUUUGCCACCAAAAUAAUUAUCUUGAACUAGAGGCAAUAUCCACAAUGCCUGAUAUCAAGUUAAACUUUUAAAAUAAUUACAUUGCAUGAUAAUAUCUCAUGACUAAUAUUCCUUCACUUAGUUUAGUCAAAAUCUGAUUAAUCAUAAUUUGAAAUACAAAUUGUUCCACCAAGAAAACUCUCAGAAUAGCUUAUCACACUUUGGUUACAGGUUGCAUUCUAAUUUUAGCAUUUCAAAAUUCAGAUAAAAUAACAUAAAUUUAUCAAUAGCAAAAGCAAAAAAAUACCUUUGUCUAAUGGCCUAAUGUCUACCCAUCUCUCAAACUUUCCAACGAAUCCUAAAGAUCCUAAAACUUAAUCCCCAUCCAACUAUUUCAAACACAAUCCCUAAAAAUCUGAAGCCUAAGCUCUGAUACUACCAAAUUUGUCCCGCCCCAAGCCCGAGGUGCGGCAGACGCUGCACGCUCGCACAGCAGGCCGCACAGGCGUGAAGGCAGCAAAUCACAUCAAAGCAAAUAUGGAUGCUUAAAAAUGACAUUAAUUUUUAAGUUGUUCAAAAGCAGUCUUACAAAAUUUCAAAAUAGCAUAUGCCAGCAUAAUUCAAAUGUCCAAGCUAAUCUAACUAAAGGACCGAUAACUGAAGGAAUCGUCGGAAAAUCUAACGCACUCCCCAAUCUCGUGCGAUCAAGCCUCUGGAUCUGAAAAAUAGAGAAAAUAGAAUAAUGAGCUACACUAGCCCAGUAAGCAACAAAAUAUCCCAAAGUGGGGUCAAAGCAUAUCAGAUCAAAAUACAAAAUAAUGACUGGAAAAUAAAUCACAAGUAACAUCAUUUUUUUCUUNNNNNNNNNNNNNNNNNNNNCGUCGGAAAAUCUAACGCACUCCCCAAUCUCGUGCGAUCAAGCCUCUGGAUCUGAAAAAUAGAGAAAAUAGAAUAAUGAGCUACACUAGCCCAGUAAGCAACAAAAUAUCCCAAAGUGGGGUCAAAGCAUAUCAGAUCAAAAUACAAAAUAAUGACUGAAAAUAAAUCACAAGUAACAUCAUUUUUUUCUUUUCAAAACUUAUCACUUUUACAAAAACUAUAAUAUCAUAAUCUCAGCAUAAUAGGCUACGGCCACGUAACCUAGUGGCAUGGAUUGCACAAAGUGCCAAAUUCACUAUUUUUAUCCACCGAUGGCAGCCGGUGUUGUACAAAAGUGCCAGACCCACUAUAUUUACCCACCAAUGGCAGCUGGUGUCCAAAUCCACUAUUCUAAUCAUCGGUGGCGCGGUGUCGAAACCAGUUUCUCACAGAUUACAAGUCGACAGGUCCAACGUAUGAUCUCCAUUGGCAGGGCCAGAACAGAACAGAACAGAUCAUAGCCAUGCUGAGAAUGCAUAUACAUAAAAAAAUAGAUUUCAUAAAUUAUCCAGCCAUAUUUUACGAAAUUCAGAGCAUAUAACAUAAUUUUCAAAUAAAAUUUAACAUGCCUGACCCUUUUUACUGAAUACAAAACAUAUGUCAAAAUUUAAUGAAUUUAUCAAAUAAUUUGAAAAUCACACUUGAAGUAUUAAGUUACUUACCUCUUUUUGCUUUAAAUCCCACUUCAGGCGAACAUAUCAGAUACACCUGUUUAAUUAAUUUCUUUGUUAAUUUUAGAGCUAAGCAAAACCAAAAUCAAUAUUAUUGGACACGGCCCAACAGGGUCCAGAGUUGGCCCAUGAUGGGCAUGGCCCGAUAGGGCCCACAUCGGACACGACCUAAUGGGCCUGCAUAGACCCAGCCUAAUAGGGCCCCCAAAGUUGGCCUCUAGAUGGAUUAUUCAUGCAAUAAAAUUUAUUGCAGGGACUAAUACUUAAUUACGGGGUACUGUUCUAUAAUAAAACUUGAGUGAAGGGACUAAUUAAUAUAUUUGAGGACCUUUACGUAAUAAAUAUUUCUUAUAGGGAUGAAACAUAAAUUACAGAAGGCUCUUUUGUGCAAUAAUAUACUAUCAAGGGCUUAACUGUAAAAUUUCAUUUAUUGGCCAAACGGGUUCGGGUUUCGAAUUUUGGGUUUCGGGUCUGAACUAGGUUUCGGAUUUCGAAUUUUCUUCUUUUUUUUGUUUCGGGUUUCGGGUUCGAACCGGGCUCAAGUUGGGCCCGCAGUGAAUAGGGCCCGUGAACAGGACCCUUUUUCUUCCCCAAACCCUCCACGAACAAGGGAAGAAGAAGAGGAGGAAGAAAGGACCGGGGGGGGGUCUAGGCGGCCAGCCUAGGUGGCGGAGGUCGUCGUCCGGUCGAUGGCCAGCCGGCCACAGUGGCGGCCGGCAGCCGUUGCGGUGGCCGGGGUCGAGAAUCAACCGAGAACGGUCUCGGUUCAUGAGGCCAAAGCAAAGGGAGGAAAGCAUGCUUGAUUCGACUAGAUCAAAGAGAUACAAGGGAAGAGGGCUUACCGGCAGUGGCGGAGGCGGCGGAAGGGAGAUCUCGACCGGGGAGGGCUCAGUCCGGCAACUAGCAACAGCGGCGGCGCUCGGAACUGAGGGGAUGGGUCACGGAACAGGGGAAGGCCGCGAAGGGGAUUCAGACGGCGCUCGGCCGGGAGAGCACGCCAGUCACCAGGCAAAGGAGGAGGAAGGAAGGAAGAGGAGAAGACGGAGGAGAGGGAGGAGGGCUUGAAGGUGGUUUUAGGAGGAAGAGGAAGGGGGUUUUUAUCACCCCCCUUGUAACGGCUCUCCGCCGCGUGAAUCGCGGCGGCCGAGCGAAAUCCGUGGCCGCGGAUUGGCCGCAGAUUGGCUGGAGGGGGGUGCCGCGGGAUGCCCGCGGCGCCUUCGCCCCGGUGGCAUCCGAAGGAGUCGGAGAGGAUCGCAAUAGUGAUCCUCUGUUCCGGCUCUUCCCAAAAGAGGACGCGGUUGAAGUCGGCUGGGGCUGCCGACUUCAGCCCGUAUCUCACAAUAUCAAUUUGUUGUAAUGAGCUCAAAUGUUGUGUUUUCUCAAUGACAAGAAAUGUAUUCAGUGGUAAUGUUCUUCUCAUUCAAUGACAGGGAAUGUAUUCCCUGAAAAAGGGAAAUGUUAUCAAUGAUUCUCAUUUGAACUACUUCAAAGAAGACGUUAUUAUAUUUUUGCUAUUGGUGUAUAAGUACUUGAUACUGUUGCCCAGAUAGANNNNNNNNNNNNNNNNNNNNAAAAACACUUAGACAAGAUUUUCACUGAAACACUCAAUUGAAUUCAUUAGUAAACAAAAGAUAUACUCAAAUGCUUUGAGCUCAUCAAAAUCAAAUAGAGUUUUAAUCAAUCACUCCACAGAUACCUCAUAGCAAUCUUGACAUUGUGCCGAAGUAAUGGUUCGCGCAUAGGUUCAGAAGGAGGUUGAAGCAUAUAGCAUUGUGAUUAUGUAUGAAACUUAUAAAACUCAUGUAUGAAACUUACGGAUGAAACUUAUGCAUGAAACUUAACUUUGUACCACUUGAAUAAGUAUGAAACUUGAUGUAAUAUGAUAUGGAAUCUGAUGAAACUUGGUUAUGUAUGAAGCUUGUGUGGAAUGUAAUGUUGGUUUCAGAUCUUUAUGAUGAACUCAGUUGGAUGGCAUGGUAUCACUUAAAUGCGUAUAGAACUAGCCAAUAAUGUGUGCUAUAGAAUUUCAUGAAAUAUGAUGUGAAAUGCCAUUGCAGAUUGGAAUGUCAUUAGAGAAUGUCAUUUAUUACAAAAACAGUCUUCCUAUAUCAUUAUAUAAUGUCAUUAUAGAAUGUCAUUGUAGAUUAUAAUUUCAUUACAGAAUUCAUGAGGUAUCAUUCGAUAAAGAAGAGUCUGAGGUGGAAGAUCCUUCAUGUUGUGCCGAGCCAUGGGGAUUCCAGUCCGGCUUGAAAUCCGACCUUGGGCGAAUGAUAGAACGAGUCGAAUGACCUCAUUCAACAUUAUGAAUAAAAACCAAAAUUAUGUAGGUUGCAUCUCUUAGGGUGCACUUAUAGAGCAAGGUUUGUCAUUCAGUUUUUCAUAAAAAACUGCAACUUCAAAGAUAGUAAGAUCUCUAGUACUCAGCAUUCUAGGGGUGACUUGAUUAAGAUAGGCGAAGCCAGAAACAAUCUUCCUCAUAGUUUCAGUGUCUCAAGCAUAAGGUGGCACACCGUACAGACGAAGCAUCACAUGAAUCUGCUGAUGAUGAGGGGCGGCCCUUUCUCUAUAUGACCAAGGUUGAACGGAGUGUGAAAAAUUCAUGACGCAUGGUGCCACGCUAGAGGGGAUGCAUUAGAGAGAUUCGAGCAGCAAAGGUGAUUAAGAAGGUAUUAUCACCUAGCUUAAUCGGGUCCCAAUCAAACCUUGGAUUAACAUGAGAGCUUGUGCAACUCAGAUGCAUUUGAAAGCUGGUCCCCCUCUCUUAUGGGAAGGAUGUGGACAACCCUAUAAUAGUGCUGCAAAUGAACAUCUCCAGUUGGCAAGAAAACUUUGAAGUUUUCUGUCCUUCCUUCGACAAAAAAAUCUCCCAAAUUAUCCAUGUUUUGGCCCACCCUACAAUGCUAGGAAAGACCAUUAAAACAAGUCAUUUAAAUUGCGGAUCAACUGAAAUUAUUUUCAUUAAUCUGGAAUGUUUGUGUACAUAUUUGAUAAGACCAUUAAACAUUAGCUACAAUAAGGAAUCAGGAAAGUUACAAAACCAAAACCAAACAACACAAUUCAAGGCAAACACGGCUAUUCCCUAUUAACCCCAAUCCUUCCAAAUAGUAGAGUGUCACGAAUAAUAACAAACACCCAAGAUCCAAGCAAUGCAUACUUGUAGAACUUCUCCUUCCCUAGAGCUAUUGCUUCCUUUUCCAUAGCUAGUUUCUCCUUAGCAUAAGCAAUUUCUCCCUUUUCUAUCACAACAUCUGCCACUUGUUGAAGCCUUGAGAAUUUAUCCAAAAUUUUAGCAGUAAAUUCAAUCCCACUUAAAGUACUUUCAUUGCUCAUCAAUUCAUAAAACAAUGUUCCAAAUACUCAAAUUUUCUCUCCUAUCUAACUAGAAAAAUAUGGAAAUCAAAAAAUAUUUCCUAUGGUCUAUGAUGUUCUAACAUUUGAUCUUCCCCACAAUCGCAAAAAAUCUCUCUGUUAUUACAAUUGCUUGCAAAAAAUAAGAUUGUUGACAUGCUUUACAACAUCUAUGUCCGGAUUUUUUCCGAAAUUUAACAAGUUUUAGAAUGGAAACGAGAAUUGGAAAAUGUGGCUUACCCGAUGGCUUCCUUCUUGCUCCUCUUUCGGAUUGGUGAAAAAACUCUUGGAUUUGAAGAAAAGGGAUUAGAUUUAGGGAAGUAAGCUUUAGUCUAGAGAUGAAUUUUUGCAUGAAAAGGAGAAUUUCUAAAAAUGGAUUUGGAUUUGAAGAAAAGGAGAUCAAAUCACGUGAAAAUAAGUUCUAGCUCGUAUGGUGAUUGUAGUUAGAAUGUCUUAAUUGUUAGAAAAUAACACACAUAUGAAGGUUAUUAUUGCAAUACAAUUUUCAGCUUUAUGGUGGCAAUGAAAUUUAGUUACCAUUGCAUAAGAUUAAGUUUUUUCUGUGACAUUCUCAUUAUACCUUCUUUUAUAUCACUAGUUUAGUCUUAUGUUUAGCUCAAAUCUAGCUUAAGCCAAUUGUAGAGUAAGAUAAGCAUCUGAGCCAGGAGGCUAACCAUAAUAUCUUGACAUCUCUUUUAUUAUUUUAAAUAAGACUACAAGAUCAAAUAACUAGCCACCUAUCAUGUUAGGCAUGCAUGUUUGAAGGCUUUAUUCUAUCUGAUUUGAUUGGGUGUAUUCGUACCCAUGUUGUAUGAAAUGCCUGCUUUAACACACAAAAAAAACCAGUCUACUAUUUUACCAUUUCGCCAUCAUUUGUGUCUAAGAAUAAAGCAAGAAUACGACUGGAAUAUUAGUUAUUCCCUUCCAACUUUUUUAUUUCCAAAGUGAAUAAAAGCUAGAAUACUUUUAUAUGAAAGAACGCAUGCCCCUUUCUACUUUUGCUCAUUUUAUUUAGAGACAAAAACAUCCAUAACCUAAAAUUAUUAUAAGAAUUUUAGCCAAGCAAUACUAGAAAUAACAUGCGAAAUAACAAAAGCUACUGCUAUUCUGCUUCCCAAACACAAGGCAAACCUUCUUAUUUCCGUGAAGCAGGAAAUGGUUUUGAGAGUGGUUUCGCCGGUUGAGUUUUCUCGGAGGUCCCUAACAUUUUUAUAUUUAUAUAUCAAUCUUUACCUUUUUAUAUUUAUAUAAAAAAAUUAUAAGAUUGUUCUUUUGUACAAAUCCUAGUUUUCAUUACUCGGGCCUUUUUUGCUCUUUUCUCCAAUUUACCCUUGCUUGAAACUUGCGGCCAGGGGCACAAGAAUUCAAUCAAGGGGACUUGGCCCACUGUAGUGAGGCAUGGUUAAGAAAUUGGUUAGGCAUGAGAGUUUGGAAAAAGAUAUCCAAAAAUAAUAUAAAAUUAUCAUAUUUUAUAGAAUAGUAAACAAAAUAUUUUAUUAUCAUCUAAUUAAUUUGAGAUAUAUGGAUUAAAAUUUAAAAUAGAAAAAAUAUGUAUUAGUAUGCAAAUAUUAAAAAAUUAAAAAUUAUUUAAAAAAUUUAGAACUUGUUUGGAUGACUAGGCUGAAAUUUUAGAAAAUUCAUAGCUUAAGUUAUUAUAAUUAUCAAAAUUAUGGAAUUAUAUGUUGGGUUAGACUUAUAUUGAUACCCCGAGAGGUAGCUUUAAUGUUAAUGGCCCAAAUUUCAUAAGAAACAAAAAUAUUUUUUUGUAUUUUUUUUAAAAAAUAAGGAUCGGUCCACCUCAAAAUUAUUUAGGAAUGUUUAGAUUUAGUUCACUUCUAUAAUCCUACUCGGCGUGGAUUUUUCUGGUCGUCGGGCCGUUGGGCGUUCGUGUUUCGCUCUUCUUUUUCUUUCCUGUUAAGACGGCUUCUUUGAUCGUUUUGAUCGUCUGCCGUGAGAUGGUAUUGGUUUUCCGGGCCAUGGAAGAAGAGUGCACUUUAUGAAAAGAAGCUGAGGAGUGAUGGCAUAGAUUUACUAGCAAAGGUGCCUCCUUUGCCACCAAGGUGGUAGCUCAGUUGGAACGGGGCGUUUGCUUCCAACCAAGUGGUUCCAGGUUUGAAACGCGCGGACGUCGAUUAAAUUCGGAGACCGGAUGCCCCACGCUUGGACACGGAGUGUGGAAGCGCUACUGUUCGGCUGGUAGCUUUGGUGGUGCCAGGUGUGACAUACUCACACGGAGGGUUCAUGCCGGAGCCCAAAGGGGAGCCGGCCCACGGAUGGGGAGGGUAUGAGUAAAACCGGCAGGGGUGCCCAACACAUAGUCAUUUCUGCCCGCAUCGAACAUUCUCCUGGCGGGGUAGGGGCCCAGUGGGGGCUGCUAUGCGGGGGUGGACUUGGCCCUUCCUCCCCCCAUCCCCUUUUUUAAAGAAAAAAAAGGUGCCUCCUUUAAGAUAUGUUGUCAUCAUUUCUUCGGCUAAUCUCUUUAUUGCUUACAAUUGAUUGUUAAUUAUCUUUUAUUGAUGGUUGUACUAGUAUAAUAGUUAAAAUUUGAUGCAGUAAAGAUGCAAUAUCAAUUUAUGCUAAUUAUAGUCUUAAUUACCAUAUAACAUUGGAUUAUUUGAUUAAUUCUGUGAUUGUAAAGGAUAACCGCAAGCUUGCGCGCAGACAGCUUGAUAACAUGGAACUUCUAUGAAUCAUCCUAUAAAUUACAAUAUUGUGUUUUCAUGCCCAUAAUUGCAUGUUUGCUGGUCCGCAUAUAUUUCAAGUUCUACCUUUGUGGUCACGAUAACAAAAAUUCUAACAAAGCUUUGCAGGUUGAUUGAUGACCAAGAUGCCUGACAUUUUAUUGCAGAUGCGGACCAUUUAGAACUUGUCAUACUUUUCUCUGAUUGAUUACAGCCAAUCUUGGUUCUGACGCUUUUUGUAGGGUUCCAUAUCUGAUUAAUUCUUAUGAAUCCCACAUUUUGUCUUUCUGUGCCAUAUCCUUAAGAGCAAAUUAUGCCGAACCAAGCCAAAUUGCCUGGUUUGCCCUAUACCUAACUAAACUGAUGGAGAAUGGGAUCGGUUUGGCUCUAAAUUUCGAAACUGCGCUGAACCAUGCAGUAGAGUAAAAUCAGUCGAGCUGGUUUGAACCGAUUCGAGCCUCCCACCUCUUUAGAAAGCUUGAAUCAUGGUCUAUUAAACUGGUUCACCCCGUACCGAACUGGUAGCCGACCGGCAUGGGUUUUGGUAUUGGUUUGGCUUACUUUGCUUAAGAGACUUAACAUUUACCCUGUUAAAUACUGUUUCCUCAUUCUUGAUAUUUUCAUGCCUCAUCUCAUCUCAUCUUGCUAUAAUUAAUAAUGUUAGAUAUGAUGUGUUUUAGAGCCCAUGCCUUAUAUAGCUUUGUAACAAAAAACCUAAAUAAACAUGCACAUGCAAAGAAAUGUAAGGUAGUGGUAUUAUUUCCAUGAUAAUAUUGCUUUCUUUUAAUUGUUGAAACUUUCAUGCCUCAUGUUAAUUAGAUGUAAUAUCCAUUUCUCUUGACUUUUGUGACAUCUUUAAUGAUUCAACAUCUGCAUCUCCAGAUGUGGGCAGCAAAUACUCAAUUAAUCCAAAUCUCAAAAUAAAGUGUAUGUGUUGAGUGAUUGUUGUUCCCCUAUUUGAUUUUGAUGAGCUCAAAACACUUGAGUAUAUUUUAUAUUAUACUAAUGAAUUCAAAUGAGUGUUUCAGGAAAAUACUGUUGAAUGUGCUAGAAUGAUUUAAAAAUUGGUUCAAGGGCUUUUUAAAUUCCACCUUUACUAUGUCUGGAACCAAUCUCAAUUUUCACCAUGCACUCAAGUCGACUCCAAAGAUUCUCGAGUCGACUCUGGCACAAAAGCUGUUAAAUGGCACACCGUCAAGCCGACUCCCAGUUCGAGCGAGUCAACUCCUGAUGGAUUAACAAAAAGCAGGAUUUCUAAGUACAGAGCGCAAGUCGACUCCGACUGAGACCGAGCCGACUCUAAGAGCAAAGACAGAAAAGUAUUUCUUGAGGUACAGUGCCCGAGUUGACUCCAACUGUAGUCGGCUCCUGCAAAAAGACAGAAGAUCAGUUUUCAAGCUUACUGGUCUCCAACUGAUAUCGAGUCGUCUCCAAUUAAUAUCGAGUCGACUCCAACUGUAGACGAGUCGACUUCUGCGAAAAGACAGAAGACUCAUUUUUAAGCCAACUGAUAUCGAGUCAACUCUAGCUAUGGACAAGUCGACUCCGACAAGAAAGACAGAAGAAUAUUUUCUGUGGCACUGCAAUCGAGUCGACUCCAGUGAAGGCCGAGUCGACUUCAAGGACCAAGUCAGAGAUCGAGUCGCCUUCAACUGAGAAUGAGUCGACUCCAACAAGAAAGGCAGAAGGUCAGUUUUUGAUACACUGUGCUCGAGUCGACUCCAACUGUGCUCGAGUCAACUCUAAUAAGGGAAGACAAAAAAAAAUCAGUUUCUGGUAUACCGAGACCAAGUCGACAUCUAAAGAUUGCGAGUCAUCUCUCGUUUGGCGAGUCGACUCUUAAAUGUCGCGAGCCGUCUCCUAAAAGAAAUGCCUGGGUAGUACUAUUGGAGAUACAGUGAGCGAGUCGUCUCCUGAAGGACAUGAGUCAUCUCCAGUUUCAGCCGAGCCAUCUCCUAGUCCCCUGAGUCGACUUCAAUCUCAACGAUCAUAUUGUCAUGCUGCACAGUAAUAUCAGAACGGCUCUUUUACUCUCUCUAACGGCUAUUUUUCAAAAAGAAGAGUCGUGAAAAGUGUUUAAAAGGAGAUGGAAGACAAGAACAAAGUAUCCAUUGAAGAGCAUUCAAGAUUACAUCUUUCCAAAAGAAAGUUUAGAGCAUUUUUGAAAAAAGAAAGGGGAGUUACUACGCUUACAUUAAUUUUAGAAAUACUCCUCACAUUCAAGGCUCGAUUAUCUGAUCCUCAACCACUUAAGCAUUCAAGAGAGGAUCCAGAAAAGAAGAAGCCAUAUCUUUUCUCAGCAUAAAAUCUAUUUGAGAGUUUCUACCUUUCUCAUAUUGUUUAUAUAGUGCUAUAAUUUAUAUAUUCUGUUUUUUUGUUUUUUGAUUCAAUUAGGGGAUUGAAUCAAGAGGUUUAAGGAUUGUUGGUGAGCCUGUGUAAAAUCAACACUGUGUAGGUUGUAGUUGGUAAUCCCGAAAAAAUCAACUGGGUUGGAUUGUGAGCCUGUGAAAACAAUCGGGUUGGUUCUAAUUGGUGAGCCUGUGAAAACUAACCAAGUUCGUUGUGAUCUCGUGAAAACAACAAGUUAGGUUGUGAGCUUGUAAAACAACCGGAUGUAAUCCUAGGGAUUAUAGUGAACUCCCAAGUGAGGCUUGGGGAGUGGAUGUAGGAGCAGGGUUGGCUCCGAACCACUAUAAAAUUUCAUGUGUUUGUAUCAUGGUUCUUUGAGCGUCUUUUCCAUAUUGGUUUAUUCAUAAGUUGAUUUAUCUUCUUAGAUUAAAAUCAAGAAAGCUUUUAUAAGAUUACUUAAAAAGUACCAAAGUUUUAUUAAAACCCAAUUCACCCCCCCCCCCCUCUCUUGGGUUGUCUGGGCAACAAAUAGUAUCAGAGCAGGUGCUCUUAUAGUGAUUGUUGUUCGAAUCAAACUAGGGUAAAAGAUUAGAUGACAACUCAAUUCGGGUCUUCCCUUGCAGCUGGACAGUCAACCAAUAGGCCACCACUGUUUAACAGAACUAACUAUAGCUAUUGGAAGGCUAAAAUGAGAAUUUUCAUUCAAGCCCAAGAUUAUGAUGUAUGGAGCAUCAUUGUAAAUGGACCACACAUUCCUACACACACAGUAGAUAACAUCUCUAUUCUCUAGCAUGAAAAAAAUUGGGAUGACAAUGACAGGAGAAAAGCCCAAUUAAAUGCUAAGGUUAUGAAUGUCUUAUAUUGUGCCUUAGACCCUAAUGAAUUCAAUAGGAUCUCCUCUUGUGUUUCAGCCAAAAAAAUAUGAGAUAGACUUGAAGUUAUCCAUGAGGGUACUAAUCAAGUAAAAGAGUCUAAGAUAAACAUGUUAGCGCACAAAUAUGAGCUUUUCAAGAUGGAACCAACUAAAAUCAUUACUUGCAUGUUUACUCGGUUCAUUGAUAUUAUUAAUGGGCUAAAAAGCCUAGGUAAAUCAUAUUCUAACAGAGAACUUGUUAGGAAAGUGCUGCUUUCUCUACCUCGGACGUGGGAGGCAAAAGUAACGGCAAUUCAAGAAGCCAAGAACCUCAAUAUACUUCCACUCGAAAAACUUCUUGGAUCCCUGAUGACCCACAAGCUAACUAUGAAGCAACAUACUAAGGAUGAUAGCCAAAGAAGAAACGUAAUAACACUCAAAUCUACUACUAACAAAGAAAGUGCUUGCAGCAGCAACAGUGAAGAUGAGAAUGAGAAAGAUGAGGAAGAAGCUCUACUUAUGAGGAAGUUCAGGAAGUUUAUGAACAAAAGAAAGCCUUACUACUAGAAGAGAUAUACCUCUCAUACCUUCGACAAAGAGAAAGGUAAAGAAAAAGAAAAAGAGCCAGCCAGAUGCUAUGAAUGCGAAAAAUCGGGACACAUUAGAGCUGACUACCCAUUAGUGAAGAAGUUUGGAAAGAAGAAAAGGAAGGCACUCCUCACAUCCUUGAGCGAAAUUGAAAGUUCAUCAUCAGAAGAAGAAUCACAAGAAAAGAGAAAUCACUGCCUUAUGGCUGAUGAAACUAAGGUAAACUCUGAAUUUCAUCCUGAUUUUACUUUUGAAGAGUUAUAUGAUGCAUUUAAUGAACUAACAGAUGAAUGUAGAACUCUAACUUUAAAGAAUAAAGAAUUAAAUCUAUCUAAUCAAUCUAUCAUGUGUAAAACAGAAAUCUUGUCAAAAGAAAAAGAAAAACUAAUUAAAGAAGUUUCUGAAUUAAAAACAAGUAAUCAAUCCCUAAAAGAUGAAUUAACCAAUAACAUAAACUUACUAACUAAAAAUCAGAAUUUAAGUAAAGAAGUUAAUAAAUAUAAAUCAAUUGUUGAAAAGUUUACUUUUAGUUCAGAAAGAUUACAAAUGAUUCUUUAAAGUCAAAGAGUUAUUUUUAAUAAAGCUGGUUUAGGGUACAAACCUAAAGACAAACACAAAUUACUUAAAAAUCUUUUUGUAAAAACUAAAGAUACUCAAAUUGAAAGCUUAACAUGUUUCUGCAGUAAUAAAAUAGGACAUAAAACAAACAUAGUUAAACACAGAAAAACAGAAAAUCAAAAGAAAAAAAAACAUGUUUGGGUUCCAAAAGGGACUACUUAUACUAACCAUGAAGGACCCAAGAAAGCUCGGAUACCUAAAUUCAUUUGAUGUGUACUUCUAGGAAUGUCUUACGGCCAAACACAAUGAAAGAAGUUGGUACUUAGACAGUGGCUGCUCAAGACAUAUGACGGGUGA
rnacentral:lncRNA from 1 species